rnacentral:lncRNA from 1 species
UGCCACUUCUUUAAGUAAACGUUUAGUUGGAGGAGGGAGACGCUGCUCCAACUUAUCCAUCAAUGUCAUAUGAUCAGCAGUGGAUGAAGAUGAUAAUAAGGAAGAUAUAAAAUCACUAGGAUGCUUUCCCAGAAGUAUUUCCCAUGCCAACACUCCAAAACUAUACACGUCACAUUUCUCAUUCACUUCCAUUGUGUAUGCAAGUUCUGUAACAAACUAAACCUUAUAUCAUAUGCAUUAAAGGAAAGUAGUGACAAAGAUAACAUAUAGAUAAUUGUGACCAACAAAGACAAACUAAAAAAUAUGGUACAAGGAAAGAAAAUUGACCUGGAGCGGCAUAUCCGAAGGUUCCUACAAAUGAGGUCCAAUUGGAUGAAUUGGGAUUAAGAAACUUGGCUGUUCCGAAAUCAGAGACAUGUGCCACAUAUUCCAAAUCCAAAAGGACAUUUUUACUUGAUAUAUCACGAUGAAUAAUUGGUGGUGAGCAAUCAUAAUGCAUGUACAAUAAAGCAUUUGCUACAUCUUUAAUAACAUUCACUCUCUUAUUCCAAUCAAAUGCAAUUGCUUCUUCAUCAUCCUUCAAAAUAUUCUGGACAUUGCCCUUCUCCAAGAAUUCACAAACCGUAAAUGACCAUUGGGAAUGUGAACAAAACCCAUAUAACUUUACAAUGUUACGAUGGCGAAUUUCUGUCAGAGCUUGGAUCUCACUUGUGAAAGCUUUCACAUUGAGCUUUUCUCCAUUUGGAACUGAAUGAAGUUUCUUUACAGCCACAACUUGACCUGAGGNUAACANUGCUUUGUAAACUUGUCCUUGNCCUCCAACUCCAAUGAGAUGCUUAUCGUCAAANUUUUCAGUGGCUUCAACAAUAUUCUCNAAUACCAUUUUGCCAUCAAAACUCCAUAUUGCAAAUGUGUUUGNAGUUUGNAAAUUGGUAGNUUNNUCUUCNANUUUCNCUGAAGUUUUGCAUAAAUAAUANNANACUCCAAAAANAAANAAUGCNAGNANUAGANUGCCCAAAGUAAGGGGUANAACNANNNUUAUGACUUUCUUUGUCNUNUGNUUNUGNGANUUNCNACNUANUGUUNGGCAAGGCUNNAAGCCACUAANNUNGCCACACAAGCCUUUAUUAUUUCUUANNGCNUCCAUUGUAGCAUUGCGAAANACUGGAAUGUUUGGAAGUGGACCNUCAAANUCAUUGUAAGAUAUAUCAAUAGAUGUCAAGCUCAUCAUAUCAUCAAAGCUAGAAAGAUCACCUGAGAGACUAUUGUGAGAGAGAUUCAAUGUUUCUAAUUUUUGUAAUCCUCCAAGCACAUUUGUUAAUCUUCCCCUCAACAAAUUUUCACUGAGAUCAAGAGUCGUAAGAGAUAUUAAUUUGCCAAGCUCUAAGGGAAUAUUUCCCUCAAAUUUGUUCUGACUCAAAUUCAUUUCCAAUAAACUGAACAAAUUUCCAAGUUGGUCUGGAAUUAACCCAGACAAAUUAUUAGAUCCAAGCCUCAAAAUUUGAAGAUUCUUCAUUGAUGCAAUUUUUGAGGGAAUAUUUCCUGAAAGAUUAUUGUUGUCGAGUGAUAGGCGAAACAAGAAAACCAAUUUAGAUAAAUCUUGUGGAAUGCUUCCUGUAAGAUGAUUUGAGGAUAAAUGAAGUUCACGUAAUUCGGUUGCCUCGCUUAGUUCUGGUGGGAUAACACCUGAUAAGUUAUUGUUAGAGAUCUUGAGGCUUGUGAGGCUACGAAACUUCCCCCAAUUUGGUGAAAGAUGACCAUAAAAAUUGUUUUCACUCAAUUCGAUGUAAACCAAGUUUGGAAGUACACCAAAAGCAUCUGUUAUGUUUCCAGUUAGUUGAUUUUCCUGAAGUCUCACUCGUAUAAGGCUAGAGCAAUUCUUCAAACUCUCUGGAAUGUGGCCAGUGAAAUGGUUAUUGCUAGCGGAAAAUUUUGCCAACUUUCCACCAACACAAAUGUUGUGAGGUAAAUGGCCAACAAAAUUAUUAUCAGCCAGCUGCAAACUUUCCAAAGCAAUAAUCCUGUUCAUUUCUAUUGGAAUCUUGCCACUGAGAUUAUUGUUAAGUAAAAAUAAUUCACGAAGCUUCGACAAAUUUCCAAUAGUGGAAGGAAUGGAUCCAAAAAGUUUGUUUUGAGAAAGAGAAACGGAUUCCAAAUUGACCAGGUUACCUAUGGAAGUAGGAAUUGGUCCAGAGAGGUUGUUUUGAUCAAGUAAAAUGGAUUCCAAAUUGACCAGGUUACCUAUGGAAGUAGGGAUUGGUCCAGAGAGAUUAUUGCCCAGCAACUGGAUUGUUUGAAGGGAAUGCAAAUCUCCUAUUUCAUCCGGGAUAAAUCCAGAGAAUUGGUUGCCAUAAAGGUAUAGAAAACUUAGAUUGCUCAAGUUUCCAAUUGUGGAAGGGAUUUUACCAGAGAGAAAAUUCUGAGACAAAUCAAGUUCAGUGAGUUUUCUCAAAAAUCCAAUUUCAUGAGGAAUAAAACCUGACAAUUGAUUUCCUUUAAGGUAAAGUUGAUUUAGAUUGCUCAAAUAUCCAAUUUCACGAGGAAUAGAGUCAGAGAGAUUAUUACUUUGAAGAUGUAGCAUCUUGAGGUUGAUCAACUUACCAAUUUCACUAGGAAUAUGACCAGAAAGUUGAUUGUCAUUUAAGAUGAGAAGUGAUAGAUUGGUCAAAGCACCAAUUUCACCAGGAAUGUGACCAGAAAGUUGGUUGUUUUGUAAGCUAAGAAUUGAUAUAUUAGUCAAAGCUCCAAUUGAAAUAGGUAUGGAUCCAGUAAGAUUACAACUGCUCAUUACCAGGUGUAUUAGUUUCCCCAGCAUGUCAAUUUCUUGGGGCAUGGUGCCGGAAAGGCCACUUUCCCCAAGAUAUAGAAUCUCCAGGUUCCUCAUAUUUACAAUUUCUUUGGGAAUGGAACCAUGGAAUUUAUUAGUUCCAAAUGACAAAUGGUUUAGGUCCAUGUGCCAAAUUCUCUGAGGAAUGCUGCCAGAAAGGUUGUUGCCUCCUACAUCUACAUGAAUCAAAUUGUUCAACUUUUCUAUAGAGAUUGGGAUUGCCCCUGUGAGAUUGCACCAAGGAACAUGAAGCAUUCUCAGCUCCCUCAAUCUCCCUAUUUCUUGGGGAAGGGACUCACUGAAAAUAUUACCACUCAUGUUCAACUUUUGAAGGCUAAUCAACUGUGUUAUUUCAGAAGGGAUAAUCCCAGAGAGUUUAUUAGCAGACAAAUCAAGAACAACUAGAUUGGACAGAACUCCAAUUUGAGGAGGAAUACUUCCGCUCAGGGAGUUGUUACUUACAUUUAGAGUGUGAAUGUUUGUAAGCAUUGAGAAGUUGAGGUUUUCAAGCGUACCUCUCAAUCCAAUAUUUUGAAGAUUUAUUUGGGAAACAUGAUUGGAGUGAUCACAUGCAAUUCCGAACCAAUUGCAAGAAGUGUUGGCAGUCCAUGAAGAGAGAGAAGCUUGACUCUUCAUGUCAAGGCUGGCUUUCCACUUCAGCAGAGCAUUUGCUUCUGAAGCAAUUCCAGAAGAAUUGAAAGCAUGAGAAUGGGGAAAUGCAGAAAAGAACAUUAGAAGAAGCAACCAAAAGGGUUGGAACUUCAUCGACAAAAGCGUUGAAAAUAUGAACAUCAUACUGAAUUGUUCACACGUAAGAGAAAGCUUCCAUGUUGCUCAUGCAAUGUGCCGCUACUUAUAAACUAAGAGUCAAUGGUACAUGACCCAAGUCAACGUUAUUAACUGUAUGUUGGCGUGUUCCCUAAGUUUAAAAUACAAAUUAUGAUAUUUUCCUUCUAGUUAUACUUUUCAAUGUUUAGGAAAAACAAUAACUAUCAUAAACCAGCGUUCUAUCUUGGCGUGCUAUUUUAUAUAUGAAUCUUAAAAUACAACAAUUUGUGUUUUUGAAAUUUAAGAAUAAUUGUGUUUUUGUAGUUUAAAAUUCAAAACAAUAAGUCGUUUGCUAAUAUGGAGAUGAGAGUGUCAUAUUAAGAACAAAACAACAAAGGAGAGAGAUAAAAAUAAAUGAUACAAUAAUUUAUGGUGAUUUAUGUAUACGUUCACACUACAAUGGUAAAUAUAUUUAUUUUGAUGUCUUUCAAGUCUUACAUAGGUGUCAAACACUCGGGAGAAUAAAUUUAUGUCUUAUAAAAAUAAAAUAAAAUUAAAAAUGUUAUACAUCUUUUUUUAUUUGUACCUUCAAUUUAACUAUGUUAAAAUCUUAUUACUAAAUUUUUCAUUUUUAAUCCUCGUUUCAAUGGAUUAACUAAUCCAACACAUUUUUACAUAUUUACCACUUUAUUUUUCUUCUCACAUCUCACCUUCCACAUCACCCUCCACAUUACAUACUUUUCCAUCUAAUUUUUGUACCAACUUUUAUUAUUAUUUUGUCUAUCCAUUCUCUUCGUCUAAUUAUUCCAUCCACUUUUUAUAUUAUUUUUUUACUCAUUUCUCCAUUAAAUUUUUGUAUGUUUUCAACUCAUUUUUUAAAAUCAUAUUUUAUAUAUUCACCUAUUUUCUCCUAUCUUUCUUUUUUUAUUAUUUCCCCCAUUUAUUUUAUGAGAUCUAAAAUUUUCACCGACUUUUUAUAUUAAUUUUUGCAACCAUAUCCUAGUGCUUAUUACCUUCCAUUUUCACAACCAUAUAAAAAUACUAAAAGAUACAAAAUCUUAAAAAGAAAAACUAAAACAUAAACUUUUUUCAAACAAAUAAUCCAUUACGUUAUUCUUGAUUUUCAUCCUGAAUUUAGAUAAGUAGAACUAAGGUCAAUCCUUGUUAAAUUCACUUCCAAAAAAAAAAAAAUCUAUAAUCAUUUCUAAACAAUUUUCCAAAUAAUAUUUUUAGAUCAAUUUCCAAAAUAAUUUUUAAAUAGUUUUUAAAGAACUACAUAACCUUGAUUAUCAUUUUGAAUGAGAACAAGUAGGACAAGGUCAAUCCUUGUUGGUCUUAAAAAAACCAAAAAAAUAUUUUUGUUUCUUUAAGAUUGUAAUUUUUAGGGAAAAUAAAAUAUUUUGAAAACCACAUCAACUUUGUAUAUUUAAUUAAAUGUACUACCUUCAGACAGGAGUAGUAGGGUGCACUAUAUUUCUUACAUGUAACUAACUCUCAGACUCAAAAUCUAGUUUUGUAGACCAUGCCUAAUUUUUUCGGGUUUUUCAUAGCUUUCUAGAAUAACCUAUGGUGACGACUCCAAAACCUCUGUUAAUACAAGAUCGUCUAAGUAAACCUUGUGUUGAAGUUUAACCAGCAUCUAAACGAAAUAACUUUAAACAAUGUAAAUCUUUUAGGAUAAAAAUGAAAGCGUUAAAUGUUAUAGAUAGAAAUUAUCCUAAAUGCCAAGUGUUACUUAAAUAAACAUGCCUAAAUGGUUAUUCAUGUGUUAUGCCUAAACAACCGGGAUUGUCUAACGCUUUAUUGCAUGUACUAGUAGUACUCUUUUAUUGGAAGAAUUAUGCUAUCUUUUUCUAUGCAGAUAAUCUUAGUACAAUACCUUUAUUUAACAGCCUACAUCAGAACUAAAAGAAUGUUUAAAGACAUGGAAGUAUUCUAAGAAUGUUUCCUUCACACCUUCUGUCUAUCUCUUCCGUACACAACAUAGUUUCCUCUACAAGACACAAAUAGCUUCUAACCUAGUACAAAAGGCUACAUCCCUAUGUGAAAGUUAAAGCUCUGAGUAACAAAUCUUUCUUGAAGAAAUUGAUAUAAAAAGGAUUGUAUGAAGAGAAGAAAUAAAGAAUUAUUUGUGCAUACUUUUUUGUUGCUAUUUUCUGUAAGCUUCCAUUGUCUAAUGCUUAUUCUUUGAAAAAUAAAAAGUCCCUUUACAAGUUUUCAUAAUCUCUUUGUAUUGAUUUCAUAUCCUUUCUACGAGAGUUAUUUUCUGAUCUUGUAUCUUGCAAAAACACUUUGUUGUUUUCAUAUUCGUAAGUGAAUUCAAACACUUGUAACUUGGAGUUAAACGAUUUAGUCAGUUAGACUAGUUUAUACCAGAAGUGGUGAUACUCGUCUUAACCAGUUGGAUUAGUUUUAAUAUCAGGAGUGGUUAAACUCGAGUGUAAUAUUUUUAUAUUAGUGAAACCCCCUUAAGAGUACUUAAGGGAGAACUAGACGUAACUUAGUUUAGAGUGAAUUAAUAUAAAAAUAAGUGUGUCUUGUUGUUGUUUUCAAAAGUUUUCCUAAAUGCUAUUUGAAAAGAUAAAGUGUUUAACAGUUAUUGUAAACCGUCUAAUCCCUCCAAAAGAGCUUAAAUACAUAUUUGCGAAAAGUUUUAAGAACUCUAUUCAAACCUAUCUUUCUAGAUUUUUUUUCCUAUGUUUCUAGCUAAUAGGGUUGCUUAUAUAGCAAAGUGGAGAAUAACAUCUCACAAUACUAAACAAUGCCAGACUAAAUCAAACUACAAAUACUAAAAUUCUUUCACUUGGAGUUUGAUUUAGUAUAGUUGCCUUCAUAAUCAAUUAUUCUUGAAUGCUAAUUGAGGAAAUACAAAACCUCAACUUAUUUGUUGUAACAGUUAUGGUCAACAUGUCAGUUGGAUUCUCUACACCUGAAAUCUUCGACAAAGACAAGCCUUCAUCAUUUAUCAGGUUUAUAAUAAAAUGAUACUUUAAUGCAAUGUGCUUGCAUCUAGAAUGAAGAAUUGAGUUUUUAGCAAGAUAUAUAACAAUCUAACUAUCACUGAACAAUGGACAAUCAUUAUUUUCUUUCCCUAAUUCUUUUAGAAGGUUCUUCGACCAUAUCAUCUCCUCUUUUACUUUUAAGAUAGCUAUAUACUCAACUUCAGUAGUUGAGAAGGAAGCUCUUCUUUGAAGUUUAGACUUCCAAUUUCCUUUGAAGUUUAGACUUCCUAUUUUCUUUGAAGUAUUUAACAAUAAAGUUAUUAUUUAUGCAUAGAUUAAAUAUAUUUUUAAUUUUUAAACUUUGACACGAAAUUAGAAUAUAUUUCUACUUAAAAUUUUGAUAUAUAUUUUGAUCCCAAAUUUUAAUAACACAUAAAUAUAGUUAUUUUAAUUCAAUUAUUUUUUAUAUUGUAUUAUAUGAAAUAUAGUUAAUGGUCAUUCAUGGGCAAUUAUCGGGUAUUAAUUUACAAAUAUAUGGUAUUAAUGAUUAAUUAUUGGGUUUGAUUACCUAAAAUAUAUUGCACUAAUGGUUAAUCAAUGGAGUUGCUGUCACAAGCCUUAUAAGUAUACAACUGAUGUCAAAGUACAAUGAUCUUCUUCUAUACUAAUAAAAUAUUGACCUUUCUAUGAAACAUAUAUGACUUGAGCGUCGGAGUGUCUUCUGCAGGUCAACCUCCAAUCGGGAUGUAUUACAUGAAGAGUUGGACGACCGGAGCAUAGUCAGAAGGAUCGACCCUACCGAAACAUAUAUCAUAUACAUUAAUAUUAGCAUUUGAAUUGUUUUCCUAACACAUUUACAAAAAUGCAUUUGAAACGGAAAGAAAAUAUUACGUAAUUAAAUUAAAAUGAUUAUAUCUAUUUUAAAGUUUGAAAAUAAAAAUAUAUCAAUAUUUUAGAAAAAACAAAUUCUAGUUUUACUUUGACUAAAAACAUAUUAUUUAAAAUUUGAAUUGAUUUGUGUACUCUUGUUUCUACAAUUGCAUUCUUUUUCAAUGACUAUAUUCAUUUUAUUUUUCUUUUGAAGAUAAAAAUUUAUUUCAAAUAAAUAUUUUAUAAUGACUAAAAACAUGUUUAAAUGCUUUUGUGCUCUUGUUUCCACAAUGCAUUAAUUAGUAUUGGUGGUGAUUUGCACUCUUUUUCAAUGAAAUAUUGACUUACCAUGUCAUCUCAAAUGACCCAUAACAUAAAUGUUCAAAACUUUAUGUAUAUACGUAUAAUUUUGAUAUGUACUUUCCUAUAAUAAUUCAUUUACAUGUGUUUUAGAUUCUAGCUACUUUUAUUACUUUUAUUUAUUUUUCAAGAAAAUGAAAUAAAGAGUAAACUUAAGAUUUUUUUAAGGAAAUAAAAUAACUAUUUGUAAUAGAAAAAUUAUGUAUAAAAUAAAAAAUUAUUUCCAACAAAAUUAUAAAAUUUAUAUUUUACUAAUUUUGAGUAUCAAAUGUAUCUCGCAUUUGUCUCCCGUAAUGUUCAUAAUUGAUUUGUACAGUAUUGUUUCCUCAAUUAUUAUUAGUGUAGGUGUGGUGAGAUAUAUUCUAAAGCUUGCAUUUUUGUCAAUGAAAUUGACUUAUUAUUAGUGUAUGUGUUGUGAGAUAUAUUCUAAAACUUGGUAUUUUGUCAAUGAAAGAUUGACUUGGGCACUUUUUUUAUUGGUAAGUGUUAAUUGUUAUGAACUCUUCAAAUCAACUUAUAUUUCAAUAAUCUUUCUACAAUACAAUACUUGUGAAUAGAUUCAAAACUUCAUGAAAAAUGUAUUAUAUUUAUCAACUUCAUAUCUGUAUAUAUAAAUUUUGAUAUGUACAUUUAAAAUAUAUUAUCAAUUAAAAUAUUAUAUUUAAUAACCAUCAUUCAAGUAUGCUUUAAAUAAAUUAUUUGAAUGAUGUUUUCUUUUUUUAAACCUAAUACGUUUUUAGUUUUACGAAAAGUGACUACCUAAAUAUAUAAAUUUUUUAUAUUUUAGUCAUAAUUGUAAAUAAAUAAAAUUUUAUAUUUUAGUCAUAAUUGUACUUUUUUUAUUUACUGUUAAUGAAAACAUAUGUAUCACGUACAUAUGUGCUAACUCUUUUUCUUAUGAUAGUAAAAAAAUAAUAAAAUUAUUAUAAUUAUAGUAAUAAAAGUAAAUUUGUAUAAAUUUUACAAUUAUAUUAUAGAUAAUGGAUACUUUUUUAGAACAUGUUUUUAUUGUUGGAUUAAAUAUGUUUUUAGCCCCUAUACUUUGGGGUGAUUUUGGUUUUAGUUCCUCUUUCAAACUAAGGUACAAUUUAGUCCUUCAACUCUAGAAUACUCUAGUUUUAGUCCUUUUUUUACCAAAUUUUUUUAACUUUAUUUGUUGUUUCAAGUAUGUUUCAUUAUAGUAUUUGGAUUGUUUACACUGUUUGACACAUUUUUACUUCAAUGUUGACUGAGAAACGCGUUUGAAACAACAAAUAAAGUUAAAAAAAAUUUGGUAAAAAGGACUAAAACCAGAAUUUUCUAAAAUUAAAGGACUAAAUUGUAUCUUAGUUUAAAAGAGGGACUAAAACCAAAAUUGCCCCAAACUAUAGGGACUAAAAACAUAUUUAACUCUUUAUUGUAAUAGUUAAUGAAAUUUUAAAAAAGUAGAUAAAUUUUGGAAAAACGGUCAAAUUGAAAAAAAACACGCUUAAAUUUAAAAGAAAAAGUUACUUAAAAGAUAAAGUUUGUAAAAUAAUUAUUUUAAUUUUAAAAAGAAUACUUAAAAGAUAAAAUUAGAAAAAAAAUGUGUAUAAAAGAAGAUAGACCUCUCUGUGUAAUAUAGAGAGACUCUAAGAUAUAGAAGAAGAACUGGAAAUGUUCUCUCUUAUUUAUUACCAAAAUUCAUACAACUAUAUAUAGUCGUUACAGUAAAGUAAAACUGAAACAGAUCACAUUUAUAUGCCUACAUGUGAUCCCUAAAGUCAAGGAACUAAUUGACUUAUUCUCCCUAAAUAAUAGGAAUAGAGAAACUAAACAGAAACAAAUAAGAAUAGCAGUUGCAGACUUAACAUUCCCUNNNNNNNNNNNNNNNNNNNNNNNNNNNNNNNNNNNNNNNNNNNNNNNNNNNNNNNNNNNNNNNNNNNNNNNNNNNNNNNNNNNNNNNNNNNNNNNNNNNNNNNNNNNNNNNNNNNNNNNNNNNNNNNNNNNNNNNNNNNNNNNNNNNNNNNNNNNNNNNNNNNNNNNNNNNNNNNNNNNNNNNNNNNNNNNNNNNNNNNNNNNNNNNNNNNNNNNNNNNNNNNNNNNNNNNNNNNNNNNNNNNNNNNNNNNNNNNNNNNNNNNNNNNNNNNNNNNNNNNNNNNNNNNNNNNNNNNNNNNNNNNNNNNNNNNNNNNNNNNNNNNNNNNNNNNNNNNNNNNNNNNNNNNNNNNNNNNNNNNNNNNNNNNNNNNNNNNNNNNNNNNNNNNNNNNNNNNNNNNNNNNNNNNNNNNNNNNNNNNNNNNNNNNNNNNNNNNNNNNNNNNNNNNNNNNNNNNNNNNNNNNNNNNNNNNNNNNNNNNNNNNNNNNNNNNNNNNNNNNNNNNNNNNNNNNNNNNNNNNNNNNNNNNNNNNNNNNNNNNNCUUUAGUGGUUUUGUCAUGAUAUCUACAAGUUGAUCCUGAGAGUUACAAAAACUGAGUUGCACUUCCCCAUUAUUAACUAAAUCCCGAAGAAAAUGAAAUCUCACAUCAAUAUGUUUGCUCUUUCCAUGAAAUACCGGAUGUUUGGAUAGUUGUAUAGGAGAACUGUUAUCACACAUAAUUUUGAUCCCAGAUUCAUCUUUAAUUCCAAUCUGCUUAAGUAUUCUUCCAAGCCAAAUACAUUGGCAAGCACAGAGAGCUACUGCCAUGUAUUCAGCCUCAUUUGUAGACAAUGCUACCACAGUUUGUCUUUUUGAAGCCCAAGACAUCGCUCCUGUACCCAUCAUAAAUAUAAAACCAUAUGUGCUCCGUCGAUUAGCCAAAUCACGCGCAUAAUCAUUGUCCGUAAAGGCUAGUAAUUUUGGAUCACCACUCUCUUUUCUGUACCAAAUCCCAAAAUUGAUUGUGCCUUUCACAUACCUUAAAAUUCUUUUUGCAGCAAGCCAAUGUGUUGAGGUGGGACAUAAAUCUACUAAUCAAACUUACUGUAUACAUCAAAUCAGGCCUUGUAACAGUUAAAUACAUCAAGCUGCCAACUAGUUGUUUAUAUAGUGUUUCGUCAACUUUCAUUCCUUUUGUUUCUAUUGACUAUUUUGUUCCUAGCACCAUUGGAUUUUUUACUGCGUUGUUGUCCAGCAUUCCAAACCUUGACAGUACCUCCCGUGCAUAUCUCCCUUGGCAGAUAAAUAUGCCAUUGGAAUUUUGUUGAACUUCAAUGCAAAGAAAAUGACUCAUCCUGCCCAAAUCAGUCAUAGCAAACUGCUGCAUCAUAAAAUGUUUAAACUGCUCACACAUGAAUCUAUCAUUACUAGUGAAUAUUAAGUCAUCCACAUAGAGACUAACUAUUAGGAUUUUGCUGCCUUGUGACUUAGUGAACAAUGUGUGUUCACUAGAGCAUUUUUCAAAUUGUUCUUGGGUGAAGUAAGCUUCAAUCUUAUUAUACCAGGCCCGGGGUGCCUGUUUGAGACCAUAUAAUGCUUUCUUGAGCCGAUAAACUUUCUCCUCUUGUCCUUUCUUCACAAAACCUUCUGGUUGCAGAACAUAGACAUUCUCCUUAAGCUCCCCAUGUAGGAAAGCACUCUUCACAUCCAAUUGAAACUCUUCCCAUCUAUAUUAAGCAGUUGUGGCCAAGAUUACUCGAACUGUGUCAAGCUGAGCCACUAGUGUAAACACUUCAGUAUAAUCAAUACCAUGUCGUUGUGCAUAACCUUUAGCGACAAGCUUGCUUUGUAUUUCUCCAUUUGUCCCUUUGUGUUCAGUUUUGUCUUAAACACCCAUUUAACUCCAAUAGGUGUAACUCCGUGAGGUAAUACAGUGAGUUCCCAUGUGUGAUUUUGUUCUAUUGCCUCCAUUUCACUUGUCAUAGCCUCUCUCCAAUGUUUACUAAUCACAACCUCUGUGAAGGUGACUGGAUCACUAUCUGUCAUUGCAUUGAAGCAAUCUUCUUCGGCAAGACCAGUUUCAUAGUCUUCUAACCAUCUUGGUCGUCUCCUUGUACGGACACCCCUCCUUGGAGAAAUAGCAGAUGAAGUACUACUCUCUGUACCAGUCUUAACCUCUGCAUCAGUCUCAACCUCUGCACCAGUCUCAACCUUUGCACCAGUCUCAGUGUUGUCUUCCGCCUCAUUCCUACCAUCGGCAUCUUCAUAGUGAAGAUCAGGCUGCUGUGUCGCUGUCUCUAAAGUACUCCAGUUCCAACCUUUUUCUUCCGCAAACACCAUAUCUCUACUGAUAAUAGUGGAUUUGGAAAUUGGGUCAUAUAGCUUCCAAGCCUUUGAUUUAUCACUGACUCCCAAGAAAAUGAAUGGUCUGCUUUUGUCAUCCAGUUUAGUCCACUUCUGAUUUGGUAUAUGCACAUGUGCAAGGCAGCCAAAAAUUUUAAAAUAUUCCACCACAGGCUUCACACGGUUCCAGGCCUCCUCUGGAGUCUUAUUUUCUACUGCUGCAGUUGGGCUCCAAUUCUGAAUGUGCACACACCACUUCACAGCAUCCGGCCAAAACAUUUUGGGAACCUGUUUUCCAGACAAUACAGCUCGAACAACGUUCAUGAUUGUUCUAUUUUUUUCGUUCAGCGACACCAUUUUGUUGGGGAGUGUAGGAGGUGGUCAGUUGUCGACGUAUUCCUUGUGAGUGACAAAACUCGUCAAAGGUGUUGGAUAGGAAUUCACCUCCUCUAUCUGUCCUGAGACAAGAUAUACGCGUACCUGACUCCGACUCAACACGAGCUUUAAACUUUUUAAACAUAUUAAAAGCUUCUGAUUUUUCAUGUAAAAAAUACACCCAAGUCUUACGAGUAAAAUCAUCAAUGAAGGUCAUAAAAUAACACUUACCACUAUGUGAAAUUGGUUGGAUAGGUCCACAAAUGUCUGAGUGAAUCAGCUGAAGCCGUCUAGAUGCUCUCCAGGUGCUUUGACUUGGAAACGAAUUUUUGGACUGUUUCCCAAUUAAACAUGUAGAACAUGUAUUUACUUGAAACUCCAAUGUUGGCAGUCCAACCAUCCCUUUGCAGGCCAACAUAUUCAACACCUUAUAAUUAAGAUGUCCAAAUCUGCAGUGCCACAGGAAAGCUUCUUUUUCUGAAACUGUUUUUGUUUGCAAGCAUACUGGUUGUUUUGGCACUAAGGAAGCUGUCACAUAAAACAUCCUGUUUCCACUCAUAUUAGUUUGCAUAAUCAGUCCUCUUGUGGCAUGAAAUACUUUACAUGUGCCAUCUGAAAUCAAAAUGGUUAGACCUUUUUCUUGCAAUUGUCCUAAGCUGAGUAAGUUGUUCUUCAACUCAGGAAUGUAGUAUACAUCAUUCAAGACAUGAGAAAUGCCAUUAAUUUGCAUUCGAAUACUCCCCUUAGCUACUACUUUCAUGUGUAUAUCAUUCCCAAGCUUCACGGUUUUGCUGGACUCUUCCUCCAAAUUUACAAACCACAAUUUAUUGCCUGUCAUGUGGUUACUGCAGCCAGAAUCAAAGUACCAUUUGUCUUCUACAUUUUGGGAGUCCUCCUCAUGUGCCAUUAAUAAGAGCUCUUCCUCUUCAUCAUCCAUUUCUACAUAAUUUGCCUUCUUGUCCCAAUCUGGACACUCGUAUUGAAAGUGUCCCAAUUUGUGAUACUUAAAGCAUUCAACAGUGGCUCUAUUGAAUGAUUGUCUGCCUCUCCCUCUACCGCGGCCACCUCUGAAUGUACCCCGGCCUCUUCCUCUUUGAGGCCGAUCAUCAUGAUUGUUUCUACUUGAAACUUCCUCAUGUGUUGCCUUUAACACCUGUUCCUCUUCCUGCGAUCCUUGCAUUCGUUGCUCAUGUACAAGAAGACUCUCAUGCAGCUCAUCAAUAGACAAAAUGAUUGUAUUAUUUGAUUCUUCAAUUGCACAGACUAGAUAAUUGAAUUUUGGGGUGAGCGAGCGCAAGAUCUUACUCACCACAGUGUUGGACUCCAUCACCUCUCCAUUUGAUCGCAUUUUACUUACCACAGUCAUAAUGCGACCAAAAAAACUGUCUACUUUCUCCCCAUCUUUCAUGGUGAGUAAUCCAAAUUCUCUUCGUAGUGCUUGGAGUUGUGCACGCUUCACCCGUGUAGAGCCUUGAUAUUUUUGACGCAUAGAUGUCCAAAUGGAUUUGGACGUGCUUUUGUCAAGGAUAGUCUCCAAAAUUUCGCAAUCAAUAGAUUGAAAGAGAAAAUUUUUCACUCUCAAAUCUUUAAGUUCAGCCUCUUGAAGCAUUUUCUGUUGGGUCUCACUGUUGGGUCCUGUACUAAGAACAAAAGUUGGAAUACCAUCCUCCACCAAGCUCCAGAGCUCCUUGCUCCGAAGGAAAUUUUCCAUCGUCAUGGACCAAAAAUCAUAAUGUCCAUUGAACCUUGGGAUAGACGGUUGGACGAACUGUUCAGGGGUUGUCAUUUUGAAGGAAUCACAGGUAUUCAACACUCUGCCUCUCUUGUUGGUGCUUUUCGGUCGUUGGAUUAUCAGGCCCCUUACAGCUCUUGAUACCAAAUGUGUAAUAUAGAGAGACUCUAAGAUAUAGAAGAAGAACGGGAAAUGUUCUCUCUUAUUUAUUAGCAAAAUUCAUACGACUAUAUAUAGUCGUUACAGUAAAGUAAAACUGAAACAGAUCACAUUUACAUGCCUAGAUGUGAUCCCUAAAAUCAAGGAACUAAUUGACUUAUUCUCCCUAAAUAAUAGGAAUAGAGAAANNNNNNNNNNNNNNNNNNNNNNNNNNNNNNNNNNNNNNNNNNNNNNNNNNNNNNNNNNNNNNNNNNNNNNNNNNNNNNNNNNNNNNNNNNNNNNNNNNNNNNNNNNNNNNNNNNNNNNNNNNNNNNNNNNNNNNNNNNNNNNNNNNNNNNNNNNNNNNNNNNNNNNNNNNNNNNNNNNNNNNNNNNNNNNNNNNNNNNNNNNNNNNNNNNNNNNNNNNNNNNNNNNNNNNNNNNNNNNNAUAUAUAUAUAUAUAUAUAUAUAUAUAUAUAUAUAUAUAUAUAUAUUAAAAAAAUAAUGUAAUAUUAAAGAGAUUUUUGUUUCCUGUAAUUUCAGAAAGUUCUAUUAAUUUUGACUGUUUUCACAAGAAACCAUAUUAAGUUUUGAUUUAAUUUUUUAAAACAAUUUUUCGGCCGUUUAAUAAACCAAACUGCAUUUAAGUUUCUUUUAUUAAGAUCUUGAUAUUUUAACAAUACUUUUUAACAAUUUUUUGAUAAUAAAAUAUGUAUCAUCAUUUUAUUUAUCUUUUUAAAUUUACUUUAAAAAAAUAUUUAAAACAAAUUAAUCACAAACUAUUAAAUAUUAAAAAGUUAUCAAAGAGUUCUUAAAAGAAACUUUUUCCUUCUAAAUCAGAUUUUGGCUGUCUUUUAACUAACUUGACCUGUAAAUCUUGAUAUUUCCCUUUUUCGUGCCUCUGUUUUUUUCCGCAAUUUUCCAUUUUUUCUCCACUACCGUAGCUUCACGCUCCUUUCUUCUCCACUUUUCCACUUCUCAAGUUUUAAUUUUUCCUUCCCUGAUUUUGUGUACGCUAAUCAGAUUUUGAUGAACUCGAGUACAAAAUGCAAAACCUUGUGACUCGAAACAACUCACAUGGCAUUCCAGCGAUGUCGUGCCUUUGCCGCCAUUGCCAAAGGCCAAACUUGUUGGAGUCACCCGAUUCUUGCUAAUCCGUUUGGCCGGUGGAAGGAAAGGCAUCACACGAAGGCCAGGAAGAAAAGGACGGUAGAGAUUUGGAAAACGCCCUUGCCACUAUAGAAGAAAAUGCGCUCUCUCAUUUAAUAUUGUAAAUGGAACAUGCACACUUUUAUUUCUUACAAAUUUUUUAAACCAUUUUAAUUAUUGUGUUUGUGUUUUUAUCUUGCAGCACAUAGUGUUGUUUUGAAGGCUAACAAGGUUGAAUGGAUUAAGAAAAUAAAACUAUUAUAAGAGGUUAAGGUAAUCCGAACUCAAUAUCUCACUCUUAAACCUUAUUAUUAUUUAUAACGAUGAUGACGAUUUGGAUGAUUGUGAUGAUCUUAUGAAAAAAGAUUGGUUGUUUGUGUUGUGUUAGGUUAUUGUUGUUGGAGAAAGCUGUGUAUACUUGUCGCAUCAGCUUGAUUAUCCUGUGAAUAACGGCAUAGUACAAAAUUGAACAUAUAGUGUUAUGGGUUUAUAAUUAGGAAAAUAAAAUUUUAAUACCAUUUUUUGACACUAUUUUGACACUGCACACGUGUCAAAAUGUGAUUGGACGAUUUCAAAUUAAAAAAACAAACUUUGGUUUUUUUUCUUCCAAAUAUACUCCUGUCUCAACUUUUUUAAUUUGAAAUCGUCCAAUCACAUUUUAACACGUGUGCAGUGUCAAAAUAGUGUCAAAAAAUGGUGUUAAAAUAUCAUUUUCCUUAUAAUUAAUUCAAAAUGAGUUGAGAGAAGGAACUGUGGUCAGGUGCGAGAAUGGUGAUGCUACCUGACUUAGUGGUGAAGGGUUGUGCAUUGAGUUGGUUGAUCAAUUGGGUAGACAUAGUCUCUUUAUCAGAAAGGAGAUUACGGUGGCGCAUUUGUUGCCUAAUUGAUUGGUGCUAUAUCACUUUCUAAUACUAAUGUAUAAAAGGGCUUUAGACGUCUAUUAUUUUGGGUUUUUAACGUUUUUUUCACAACCGAUGUCAUUACGGGUGACGUUAAUGGGAUGUCGAAUUUCCAUAUAACAGACGUCUAUAUAGACGUCAGUUAGUGUCAUGUUCGACAUCAAUAGACGUCGGUUAAGGCCUACUCCGAAGUCUAAUAACACCAUAUAGACAUCGGUGUGGGAACCAACCGACGUCUAAGAGCACUAUAAAGACUUCGAACAUAUCAUUAGACGUCAGUGUAUGCAUUAACCGAUGUCUAAUAUGAUCGUUGUGUUUUAGUGCAGUUUUGUUCUUGUCUUUGGAUAACCUAGUAGCACACUCUGUCUUUGCUAGUUUCCCCCCAAAAAAAGCUUGCGUCUUUUGAAUUUCUCAUGACAUUUCAACCCAAAACCGAACCUGGGUUCUUGCCUAGUUCCAUUUUCAACCGCAAGAGGGAAAAAUUACGGUGAAACGAUAACUAGGCAACGACCCAGGGUCUUUUUCAGGUCGAAACACCAUAAGAAAUCCAAAAGAUGCCGCUUUUUCUGGGAGGCAGCUAGCAAAGGCAUAAUGUGGUACUACGUUACCCCAAGAAAGGAACAAAACUGCACUAAAACACAAUACAAGAAAAACACAUUUUAAUCAGUUGAAUCUGAAGAUAAUCGAUGAAAGACUAAUAUAAUUGGACUGAAACAAAGUUUAAACGGUUUAAAUAAAAAAAGACGCACCUGGAAUGCAAUGCCGCAAGAGAGAAAAAGGAGAGGAGGAAGACGAUGAUGUUUGCGUAACUACGAGUUUGUGGUUUAUUUAACAUGAAUUUAGGCGUCGAUUGUAACAGAAACCAACGUCUAUAGUCAGCUAGACGUCGGUUAUCUCAUUAAUGUGACGUCCAAGAUAACUUUUAAUCUGCCUUUUCAAUGCACCUUAGACAUCGGACACAAGGGGCACCGACGUCUACGGCGCUGAUCGGAAUGACUUUUCAAUUCCGGUCAAGGAAGUAGACGACGGUUGUCCUGGGGUGCUGACGUCUAUAACAUUUUAGACGUCGAGCCCCUACUAUUGGACGUCGAAGUUCUUGCGAGUUUGGUGAGUAGCAUUAAUUACAGCCACAUAGACAUCGUUCCCCCAGAAACCAGACGUCUAUACGGCAGAAAUUGACUGUCUUCUCGCCUUCCUGUCGGGCCCAUUGACAUCAAGUUAAGGGAGCACAGACAUAUAUAACAUUAUAGACGUCGAUUAUUUAUUACGUGACGUCAAAGCGCCUAGAAAUCAGGUGAAGAGCAUUAAUUGCAGCUAGAUAGACGUCUGCCCACUUCACAACUGACGUCAAUGGGGUAGAAAAGACUGUCUUCUCGCCUAUCUGUCAGGCCCUUGGAUGUCUGGUUAGGGAAGAACAUACGUCUACUAUAUUAUAGACGUCGUUUGCCCUAGAAACCGACGUCUUGGUUACCAACUUAUUUACGGUAAUACCACCAUCCAUUAGUAUACGUCGAACCAUCCUUUAACCGACGUCUUGUGGGUGAUGUUAAACAACGUUUUUGCACUAGUAUAAAUUGUAUUAUGCACAUAAUGUUUCUGUCAAUUGUUUAUCAAUAUCAUUAUAAACUACAUUUUGAAUUAAUCAUACGUUGUUUAUCAAAAUCUAAAUCAAGUACCUUGGUUUUAGGAAUCGAACUAAAGGUGAAAGACUUUUCCUUUUCUUAACUUUUAAGUGAUACUGCAUAGGUAUAUAUCAAUUCUCCAUCUCUUUCUGUUGUGAUUAUGCCUUGCUGCUUGGACCAUUUUGAAAAGAAAAAAAAAACUUUUCAUAAAUUAAAAUGCACCUCCAAAAAAGUAUUCAUAAUUGAAAACAAAAACAAGAAUCUAUGAGGGCUUAGUGUUUUCCUAAAUGGAAAAUUGUAAUUUAUGAAAAUAGUUGUUAAAAAAUGUCAAAUGUUAUUGAUACGGUAUGGAUAGUCUCAAAUGUUGUCAUUAAUAUGUUGAGUAGUGUUGAAUAUAUAUUAAAAAUGAUUUAUAAUUUUCUAAUACAUGAAGGACAUCAUGUAAAUUAAUAUUUUGCUUUGAUGUAUUUUGUAGAUUGUCUGUGAAGGUGCGAUGGCUUUGGUCUAUGGAAGAAGUUCUGCUCUGAACCCAAAUGCACCAUUAUUCAUAUGUUAUGCUUAUUCUGUAUCAUGGUGGUAUCAUUACAAUUAUCAACUUAAUUCAUGGCCUAUGAACUAGCCUUAAUUCACUCUUGAAAAAACUCUAGGUGUUUCAUCCUAUGCUUCCAAGCAUUUUACUCUGCACCUCCAAUAUUAAUUUUAUUAUUAUUGAAAAUUUUUGUGUGUGGCAUGGACUCCACCUCCAUUUUCUUCCUAUCACUAAACAUACAUUCCUGCACCCUUACACCCCAUUUCAUUUUUAUAAAAAGAAACCUUACAUCCAAGCACCCUAUUUGAAUUGCGGCUCUCAGAUAAUACUUUUUAUUUUGUAUUGAGUUUUUUACUUUGUAACUCAUAUCAAUUGUUAUAUUUGUGAGUGAGUGUGGUCUUCAAAAUUAAAGAUAUUUGAGAGGAGUUGUUAGUGUUUGAGUGCAGCUUGGAUGGUACAUCCAGAAACUUGACUUGUUUUAUGGUGGUGUACUGGAGUGCUUCGUGUUAACUUGGAAUGCUUCUUCUUUGUCUUCUUGUUGGUUGCAUUGAUAUUGUUGGAGAGGAGGUUAGUAUUUUUUUUUUUAAAUUUGUUUGCUUGGUUACACUUGCUGGUUGCAUUGAUAUUGCUGUAGAGGGAGGUUAGUAUUAUAUUUUUGUUAAUGUGUUUGCAUGUUUGCAUAGUUACGGAAGACAAUAAACAUGAAUCGGACAUCGAAAUCCGAAAAUGAACACAUUGACUAUUGAAAUCCAAUGCUGACCGAUUUGGAUGUGAACAUCCGAUGUAAGAAGCUUUAGAUUUUCAUAUUGGAUACAUGUUUUAUCUCAAUCAAAUGUUUACAUUAUAUUAUUUAUGUUUACAUUAUAUACUUAUUAUAUUAAUUUAUAAUUUUUUUUUUAUUUUAUGUAUGAGUUUAUAAUGUAUUAUAUAAUUUUCAAUUAAUAUAAAUUAAUUUCUAUGAAUUUAUUAAAGGUUUAAUACCUAUUUUGGUCCCUCUUUUUGGGGGGUUUGUUCAAAGUGGUCCUCCUUUUUUAAAAAGUUCAAUAAGGUCCUACUUUUUGCAAAAACUGUGGAAGUUAGUCCUUUUUGCUAAGGGCGUUAAUUCUGCUAACGGCAGAGCUGCCAGCUUGACAUCAAAUAUUUGCCAGCUGGCAGCUCUGCCGUUAGCAGAAUUAACGCCCUUAGCAAAAAGGACUAACUUCCACAGUUUUUGCAAAAAGUAGGACCUUAUUGAACUUUUUAAAAAAGGGAGGACCACUUUGAACAAACCCCCCAAAAAGAGGGACCAAAAUAGGUAUUAAACCUUUAUUAAAAUUAAUAAAACUAAUUUUGAAUAAAAAAAACUUAAUAUCAGCUUAUCAAAUAUGAAAAUCCGAAUAUAUGGAUAUCCAUUGUCCACGAUUUCGAUCGUAAAAAUCCGGUUGAGGUUUAAUAUGUUAUAUAAAAAAGUUAAUAAUAUUACUUAUUUAAUUAUUUUAUUAUUUUAUAAUUAGUUUUAAAAUUAUGUACUAUUUUUUAUGAGUUUAUAAUGUAAUUAUAUAAUUUUUAAUUAAUAUAAACUAUUUUUUAUGAAUUCAUUAAAAUUAAUAAAACUAUUUUUAUUAAAAAUAAACUUAAUGAUAGUCUAUCGGAUAUGAAAAUUGUAAGGCCUUGUAAAAAUUAAAGCCAAAAGUGUGUACACGUGGCAGCCUAGCAUUGGGUAAAGUUUCAAAAAUAAAAUUUUAAUAAAACACUUAUUCUAGGUUCCAGCUCAUUCUCCUUUCAUUUUCGUUCACCACCAAACACACAUCUCCCUCUUCUUCUUUUUCUUCAUUCCUCCUCCUUCCAUCUACCAUAACUCAAAAUCUAACCGUUUGUUUCUCAAAUUGAAGCUACCUAAACGUUCAGGACUCCAAGAGCUACGUUUCUACCGAUUGAUUUUCCGUUUCAUCCAACGGGUAAGAAAAACCCCUUUCUCCAUUUUUCCCUAGGAUUGUAAACAUGCAAUUUCUUGCUACAAGCAACCCAUUUUGUUUUCUUCCAUAAUCUAGCUUCUGUUUGGUUCUAAAAUUCGUUCUCCAUCAUCAAUUGAUGAUUUUAGGUGAUUCUCACAUUUUGGGUUCAAAGUACGUGGUCUAGGAUUCUUCCUUGAGUUGGCCGGACGCACUAGAGGUAAGGGGAGCUAGUUCUAUUUCUUAUUUUUAUUGUGUAAUGUGAAUGAAUGACAAAUUUUGAAGUGGUAUGUUGUUAAAGGCAUGAAAUUGGUUCUAUUGACUUGAAAUGCAUGUAUGGAAGUGGGUGUGUUGUGUGAAUUUGGUGAUUGAUGGCUAUGAAUUGUUUGGAAUGAUUUUGAAUGAUGAAUUAUUUAUGUUGGAACUAAUUUGGUGUGAAAAAUCUGUUGUGGUAUUGUUAGGAAGAAAAAUCAAGUGUCUUAGGGUCAAUUUUAGGUCAUUUAGAGGAAGUAAGGUAGUGAUUUUGAGCAAUUGAGGUCUGCACCAUAUUUGGAUUAUUGGGACAGUUUUAUCCACUGUAUUGUGACUUGUUUGAGUCACUAAAUUGGUAAAAAUAGGUGCAAAGAGGUAAGAUUGAGUUUUUGGUCUCUAUGUUGGUGAAAUUGGAGUUAUUUGAAGAGAAGAGAAGUAGUGAAUUUGAGAGGUAGAGGUCUAGGACUCUUUUGAACUGUUGAGGCAGCUUAGGCAAGUUAAUUAUAACUUGUUAGAACUAUAAAAUUGGUUAAAAUGAGGUUCUAAAUGGUAGAAGUGGAGUUAAUUCCUUAGGUUGAGGAAAACUAGUGUUUUGAGUGAGUUUAGAGGAAGUGAGAGAGUGUUUUUGAGUAAUUGAGGUCUAGGGUGUAAGUGGGCAGUGGGGACAGUUUGACUAAGUCAAUUAUGACUUGUUAGAAGUUUUAAAAGUGGUAAAAACAUUGCUUAACUGGUAGAAUUAGAAUUGGGCACAUGUGUUGAUGAAAUUGAGUAAUUUGAAUGUAGAUUGAUGUGAAAUCACUAGAGAAUUGGUUUAGGAAGUGUUAAAGUUGAUUAGGCAAGUUAGAUUCAUCAUAUAGAUCAAGUUAGGAGUGCUAGAAAUCCACCAAAAGGCCUAAAACGAAACUUAGGAGUGUGAGUUUGAAAAAUCUGCAUUUCCUGUCAACUGGUGUAGCACUCAGCGCCACUAAUCCCGCUCGAGCGCCACUGGACGCAACAACACUUUUCAGAAUUUGUUUUUGGUAGUUUUUGGGGUUCCGGAUGUCCGUUUUGGACGUUCUUUAGGUCGUUCUGGGGGUUUUUUACCCUUCCAGAACCAUUGGUGAGGGUCCCAAGGCUGUUUGAAUUACUUAAGUAUUGAUAAUUAAAUAUCAUAAAGAAAUUUGUGGUAAUAAGUGAUGGUUUUGUGAAAGUAUGUAAUGUAUGAGUUGUUUUAUGACAUGGUCGAUGUUGUGAUAUGGUGUAUGGGCUUGGUAUGAGCCAAUAUAGUACGAAUGUACUUGAAUGACUAUGAAAUUUUAUGUUUGAUGAAGCAAAGUGGUUUAUGAGGUACAUUAUUGAUUCAAGAGGAAUAUCAGGUGAUUUGAAGUGGUCGGAUUGAAUAUGAAAUUAAGAUCUCUCGGUGAGAUCAGUUAGUGUAUUGAAUGUAUGUAAGAGGCUUCCACUAUGGGGGGUUAUCCGUAACACUCUAACGGUCUUUCAUUCUCACUUAGAGAGGAUUGACGCGUGUGGUGAGAGUAGUGAGAGGUCCUAGGGUAGGCGCUAUCACUGGAGGUCUAUUCCGCGGUAACGAACCAGCCUUGUGUGUGGUCGGGUGAAACCCCUCGACAAUGGCUUUGCAAAGCAGUAGAGGCCACCACAAGUGCACAACCCGCCCCAGCUCUAUAUACAUUCUAUGUCCGGACGUGUCUAGGAGUCUUAACAUGACAUGAUGUUUGCUUUAGUGAGUUUUGUGAAAUGANUGUUUAUGUUUAUGAUGACUUACAUGUUUAAGUGUGUAUGANCGUUCUUGCAAUGAAUUGUAUGAUUGUUUGAGACCUAGCUCACCCUUGCACUUGUAUGUUCGUAUGUGUUUGCCUUCCCCCUUGCGAUGAUCAUCCAAUCCUUUGGAUGUGAGCAGUAGGUGAUGAGGUACCCUUGGAGCAGGCGUGGGAGACUGAGGAAGAUACAGUCCCUAAUACUUAGGACAAUUAUUAGUUCUUAUUUCAAUAGCUUGUUAAUUUUUGGAAACACUCUCUAGGCAUCCUUCGAUCUUUAGUUUAUUAUGUAUUUUGGAGAACUUUGGGGAACUUGUACUCAAGUCUUAUUUCGUUUUAAUUUCCACUAAAUUUCGGAUGACUGUAUAAAUAUUUAAAUAUUGUCAUCUUUAUCUCUUAACUGCUUUCACAUAUUGUAAUAGCUGAAUCCUAUUAUAUUAUAUGUGAAUAUGAUAUUUGGGAUGUCACAAAAAUCCGAUGUUCUUCGGAUGUCAAAAUCGAUUCAUGUUAAAUAUUAUAUAUAAAAAUUUAACUAUAUUACUUAUUUAAUUAUUUUAUUACUUUAUAAUUAUUUUUAAAAUUAUGUAUGAUUUUUUAUGAAUUUAUAAUUUAAUUAGAUAAUAUGCAAUUGUUAAAAAAUAAUUCUUAUUAAUUUUUUUAGAUUUUUGCAUGUUAUUUUAUUAAUAUUAUUUAACUAGGUUUGUUUUAUACAAAAAUUUGAUAAAACAAGUUAACUUCAUUUUUAUAAUUAUUAAUUUUUGUUAAUAUAAAAAAAGCAUUUUAAAUAUUUAAUUUUUAUAAUUUUUUAGAUAUAAAAAUUGAUAUGAAAAUUUUUUAAUAAUUUUUUAUAUAGUUUUAAGUUUAUUUAUUUUUGUGACUUUUUUUUUUAAGUUGAUUACAUUCUUAAUAAAUUUAUAAUUUAUUGUAUUAGUUUUUUAUUUUGGUAUAGGUGAUUAUAGUCUAAAUGAGCGAAUAUCGUUAUGGGAUGGAUUCUGAAAUAAAUUCUAUCAUGCUAUCAGAAUUUUUGUCUUUUACAAAUGAGGUUGUUGAAGGAGAUCUGACGAAUCAUUACACAACAAACCCGAUGCCCAACCUAGUACGUAUGACACCCGAAAAUGUGAGUGUCCUUUCCAGUAAAGGGGCAAGCCAUCUGGUAAUGGUGAUGGGUGGGUAUUGCAAGUGAUAUACGAAUACCACAACCCCAAUUUAGCAGAAACUUUAGUGGGGCAUCCUUAUGCUGGUAUGUUUUGUUGGGUGUAUCGAGGAGGAUGUGACCUUGUGGGUUACACAAACACCAAUAAAGUCUGAGCUCAACCACAUAAGGGAUCGACACCACUCUUUACCCAAAACCUUAAGGCAUUAGAUUAAUUAGUCUUUCAUCUUAUAUAGUGCUUUAGUUUCUCAUUUCUAUCCAAUGUGUGACUUAGACUCACACUUGGAUUCCCAACAAUCUCCUCCUCAAGGGCGAGUCCCUUCCACAUAGGUAUACUCCCCCUCUAGUGGAAGCAUUCCCAACCAACCACAACCAUGAGUAGCCCUUUCCAACCGUUUCAACCGUCAUUUUAUCUUAACAGGUUGCUUACCUGAAUACCCUUUGCCAGGAAGACUUUCAGUAUAAGGACAAUUAUACUUGUCUGAACUGGCCACCAAGACAAACCAUCGACUCUCACACUUGGAUUCCCAAUAGAUAUGACUAAAACCAAAGUAACACUUGAAAAUAUUUUGUUGACUCUCAAACAAAAUAAUGAUCAUAAUGUAACUACAAUAAAACAAGUUUACAUAGCAAGGUAUAUAUAUAUAUAUAUAUAUAUAUAUAUAUAUAUAUAUAUAUAUAUAUAUAUAUAUAUAUAUAUAUAUAUAUAUAUAUAUAUAUAUAUANNNNNNNNNNNNNNNNNNNNNNNNNNNNNNNNNNNNNNNNNNNNNNNNNNNNNNNNNNNNNNNNNNNNNNNNNNNNNNNNNNNNNNNNNNNNNNNNNNNNNNNNNNNNNNNNNNNNNNNNNNNNNNNNNNNNNNNNNNNNNNNNNNNNNNNNNNNNNNNNNNNNNNNNNNNNNNNNNNNNNNNNNNNNNNNNNNNNNNNNNNNNNNNNNNNNNNNNNNNNNNNNNNNNNNNNNNNNNNNNNNNNNNNNNNNNNNNNNNNNNNNNNNNNNNNNNNNNNNNNNNNNNNNNNNNNNNNNNNNNNNNNNNNNNNNNNNNNNNNNNNNNNNNNNNNNNNNNNNNNNNNNNNNNNNNNNNNNNNNNNNNNNNNNNNNNNNNAUAUAUAUAUAUAUAUGUGUGUGUGUGUGUGUGUGUGUGUGUGUGUGUGUGUGUGUGUGUGUGUGUGUGUGUGUGUGUGUGUGUGUGUGUGUGUGUAUAUAUAUGUGUAUAUAUAUAAACGUUCAUUGAGAGGGUCGAAAACUAACCUGCAACAGUUGAUGAUGAUGUUGGAUCGCGAUAAGUACAUACAUUGGAGUAGAUGCGCUUCUGAGGUUGUCAGUGACAUCUUUUAGACACAUCCUGAUACAAUCAAGUUAUUGAAUGUAUUUAAUGUUGUUUUGUUAAUGGAUUUAACUUAUAAAACAAAUAAAUAUCAAUUGUCGUUGUUAGAUAUUGUUGGUAUGACAUCUAGUGGGUUGACCUACUUGAUAUAUAAACUUGUUGAAGUGUAUAAAGAGGUUGUCAUUUGAUCCUCGAUUAUAAUAUCUAUUGGAUAUAUAUUUGAAUUGGAUACCAAAUAAACAUAUUAAUAACAAUAUUUAAUUGUGAUUACAACAAAAGAAAAAAAAAUACAGUACAAAAUAGAAAAUAGCAAGUAAACUGAAUGUUGUUUAAAGACUUCACUCUUUACUUACACACGUAAGUUGAGAUAUUGAGUUCAUCCAUGGAAGAUGAGCUUUACACUACAAGCUCAUUGACAACAUCCUUCAUAGUAGGGCGUGAUCGUGGACUUUCAGUCAUGCAAGCAAGUGCUAUCUUCACAACUGAUGCCACCUCUUUAAGUAAACGUUUAGUUGGAGGAGGGAGACGCUGCUCCAACUUAUCCAUCAAUGUCAUAUGAUCAGUAGUGGAUGAAUAUGAUAAUAAGGAAGAUAUAAAAUCACCAGGAUGCUUUCCCAGAAGUAUUUCCCAUGCCAACACUCCAAAACUAUACACGUCACAUUUCUCAUUCACUUCCAUUGUGUAUGCAAGUUCUGUAAAAAACUAAAAAGUUGAUAUCAUAUGCAUUAAAGGAAGUAGUUACAAAGAUAAAAUAUAGAUAAUUGUGACCAACAAAGACAAACUAAAAUAUAUAGUAUAAGGAAAGAAAAUUGACCUGGAGCGGCAUAUCCAAAGGUUCCUACAAAUGAGGUCCAAUUGGAUGAAUUGGGAUUAAGAAACUUGGCUGUUCCGAAAUCAGAGACAUGUGCCACAUAUUCCAAAUCCAAAAGGACAUUUUUACUUGAUAUAUCACGAUGAAUAAUUGGUGGUGAGCAAUCAUAAUGCAUGUACAAUAAAGCAUUUGCUACAUCUUUAAUAACAUUCACUCUCUUAUUCCAAUCAAAUGCAAUUGCUUCUUCAUCAUCCUUCAAAAUAUUCUGGACAUUGCCCUUCUCCAAGAAUUCACACACCAGAAAUGACCAUUGGGAAUGUGAACAAAACCCAUAUAACUUUACAAUGUUACGGUGGCGAAUUUCUGUCAGAGCUUGGAUCUCACUUCUGAAAGCUUUCACAUUAAGGUUUUCUUCAUUUGGAACUGAAUGCAGUUUCUUUACAGCCACAACUUGACCUGAGGGUAACAUUGUUUUGUAAACUUGUCCUUGUCCUCCAACUCCAAUGAGAUGCUUAUCGUCAAAAUUUUCAGUGGCUUCAACAAUAUUCGCAAAUACCAUUUUGCCAUCAAAACUCCAUAUUGCAAACGUGUUUAGAGUUUGUAAAUUGGUAGCUUCCUCUUCCAUUUGCACUGAAUUUUUGCAUAAAUAAUACAAGACUCCGAAAACAAACAAUGCCAGCAUUAGAGUGCCCAAAGUAAGGGGUAGAACCAUUGUUAUGACUUUCUUUGUCAUAUGAUUAUGUGAUUUCCCACUUAGUGUUGGGCAAGGCUUUAAGCCACUAACAUUGCCACACAAGCCUUUAUUAUUUCUUACUGCUUCCAUUGUAGCAUUGCGAAACACAAGAAUGUUUGGAAGUGGACCCUCAAACUCAUUGUAAGAUAUAUCAAUAGAUGUCAAGCCCAUCAAAUCAUCAAAGCUAGAAAGAUCACCUGAGAGACUAUUAUGAGAGAGAUUCAACGUUUCUAAUUUUUCUAAUCCUCCAAGCUUAUGUGUUAAUCUUCCCCUCAACAAAUUUUCACUGAGAUCAAGAAUUGUAAGAGAUAUUAAUUUGUCAAAAUCUGGAGGAAUAUUUCCCUCAAAUUUAUUCUGACUCAAAUUCAUUUCCAAUAAACUGGGCAAAUUUCCAAGUUGGUCUGGAAUUAACCCAGACAAAUUAUUAGAUCCAAGCCUCAAAAUUUGAAGAUUCUUCAUUGAUGCAAUUUUUGUGGGAAUAUUUCCUGAAAGAUUAUUGUUGUUGAGUGAUAGACGAAACAACAAAACCAAUUUAGAUAAAUCUUGUGGAAUGCUUCCUGUAAGAUGAUUUGAGGAUAACUGAAGUUCUCGUAAUUCGGUUGCCUCGCUUAGUUCUGGUGGGAUAACACCUGAUAAGUUAUUGUUAGAGAUCUUGAGGCUUGUGAGGCUGCGGAACUUCCCCCAAUUUGGUGAAAGAUGACCAUAAAAAUUGUUUUCACUCAAUUCGAUGUAGUCCAAGUUUGGAAGUACACCAAAAGCAUCUGUUAUGUUUCCAGUUAAUUGAUUUUCCUCAAGUCUCACUCGUAUAAGGGUAGAGCAAUUCUUCAAACUCUCUGGAAUAUGGCCAGUGAAAUGGUUAUUGCUAGUAGAAAACCGUGUUAGUUUUCCCCCAAUGCAAAUGUUGUGAGGUAAAUGGCCAACAAAAUUAUUAUUAGCUAGCUGCAAAUUUUCCAAAGCAAUAAUCCUGUUCAUUUCUUUUGGAACCUUGCCACUGAGAUUAUUGUUAAGUAAAAAUAAUUCACGAAGCUUCGACAAAUUUCCAAUAGUGGAAGGAAUGGAUCCAGAAAGUUUGUUUUGAGAAACUAAAACGAAUUCCAAAUUGACCAGGUUACCUAUGGAAGCAGGGAUUGGUCCAGAGAGGUUGUUUUGAUAAAGAGAAAUGGAUUUCAAAUUGACCAGGUUACCUAUGGAAGUAGGGAUUGGUCCAGAGAGGUUGUUUUGAUAAAGAAAAAUGGAUUCCAAAUUGACCAGAUUACCUAUGGAAGUAGGAAUUGAUCCAGAAAGGUUGUUUUGAUAAAGUAAAAUGGAUUCCAAAUUGAUCAGGUUACCUAUAGAAGUAGGAAUUGGUCCAGAGAGAUUAUUGUCCAGCAACUGGAUUGUUAGAAGGGAAUGUAAAUUUCCUAUUUCAUCCGGGAUAAAGCCAGAGAAUUGGUUGCCAAAAAGGUAAAGAUAACUUAAAUUGCUCAAGUUUCCAAUUGUGGAAGGGAUUUUACCAGAGAGAAAAUUCUCAGACAAAUCAAGUUCACUGAGUUUUCUCAAAAAUCCAAUUUCAUGAGGAAUAAAACCUGAAAAUUGGUUUCCAAUAAGGUUAAGAUAAGUAAGACUGAUCAACUUACCAAUUUCACGAGGUAUGUGACCAGAAAGAUUACAACUGCUCAUGUCGAGAUGAAUUAGUUUCCCCAGCAUGUCAAUUUCUUGGGGCAUGGUGCCAGAAAGGCCACUUUCCCCAAGAUAUAGAAACUCCAGGUUGCUCAUAUUCACAAUUUCUUUGGGAAAAGAACCAUGGAAUUUAUUAGUUCCAAAUGACAAAUACUUUAGGUCCAUGUGCCAAAUUCUCUGAGGAAUACUGCCAGAAAGGUUGUUGGAUCCUAUAUCUAGAUGAAUCAAAUUGUUCAACUUUUCUAUAGAGAUUGGGAUUGUCCCUGUGAGAUUGCAAUAAGGAACAUGAAGCAUUCUCAGCUCCCUCAAUCUUCCUAUUUCUUGAGGAAGGGACCCACUAAAAGUAUUUUGUGCCAUGUUCAACUUUUGAAGGCUAAUCAACUGUGUUAUUUCAGAAGGGAUAAUCCCAGAGAGUUUAUUAGCAGACAAAUCAAGAACAACUAGAUUGGACAGAAUUCCAAUUUGAGGAGGAAUACUUCCGCUCAGGGAGUUGUUACUUACAUUUAGAGUGUGAAUGUUUGUAAGCAUUGAGAAGUUGAGAUUUUGAAGCGUACCUCUUAAUCCAAUAUUUGGAAGAUUUAUUUGGAAGACAUGAUUGGAGUGAUCACAUGCAAUUCCGAACCAAUUGCAAGAAGUGUUGGCAGUCCAUGAAUAAAGAGAAGCUUGACUCUGCUUGUCAAGGCUGGCUUUCCACUUCAGCAGAGCAUUUGCUUUUGAAGCAAUUCCGGAAGAAUUGAAAGCAUAAGAAUGGGGAAAUGCAGAAAACAACAUUAGAAGAAACAACCAAAAGGGUUGUAACUUCAUCGACAGAAGCGUUGGAAAUAUGAACAUCAUACUGAAUUGUUCACACAAUAUUGAAUUACAACGUUAGAGAAAGCUUGCAUGUUAUUCACGGAAUGUGCCGCUACUUAUAAACUAAUAGUCAAUGGUAUAUGACUCAAGUCAACAUUAUUAACUGCAUGUUGGCGUGUUCCAUAAUUUAUCGUCCUUAAUACGGAUAGUUUCUUCCAUGUAAAGAUAUUAAUUUAUUGUCAUAUCACUGUUUAAUAACACAAAUUUAAAAGUAAAAAUAAAUUACUUUAAAAUCGAAAGAGAUAAAAAAUUACUUUCAAAUCUAGAGAUUAUAAAAAUAUUUUUAAAUUUGGAGGACUAAUAUAUUUUAAUUUACAAAAAUUAAAAUGUAAAUUUUGUAUUUGAGUGGUUAAAAAAUCACUUUUAAAUUUAACGGACUAAAAUAAAGUUUAAUGCAAAUUUUAAAGAAUAAAAAUAUUUUAGCCCGAAAAAUCUUAAAAAUGUAUUUUCACAUUAUUAUUUUACCAACAUGAUCUAGAUGUUAGCCACAUUAAUCAUGUUAACAACUAUGAAAAAUCAAAUUUAAAGAUUAAAAGUAUUUAUAAAUAAUAAUUAUCUAUCUUUUAUUAAAUAUAUUUUUAAUCUUUAAAAUAUAUUUUUAUCCGAAAUUUUAAAGUUAAAUAAAUGUAAUCAUUUUAAUUUAAUUAUGUUAACAUUUAUUUUAUACAUCAAAUAUGUUUCGUACUAGAAUUUAAAUUGUGUACAGUUGAAAAAUGUAUUUGACAAAUAAAAAUAUAACGUAAUUGAAAUUGAUUUAAAUGUUGAAAAAAGAAAUAGAAAAAAUAUCAAUAUUUCGAAUAAAUAAUUUUAAAGUGAUUAAAAACAUAUUUAAAGUUUGAGUUGAUUUCUGCAUGAUUAGUAUUAGGUAAAUUCGCAUUAUUUUUUAAUGAAAUAUUGACUUUCCAAGUCAUUUCAAAUGACCCGUAACAUAAGGUUCAAAACUUCAUGUAUAUAAUUCAUUUACAUGUGCUUUACACUCUACUUUUAUUCCUUUUAACUAUUUGUCAAGAAAAUCAAAUAAAUCAUAAACUUAAGAUUUUUUUAAGGAAAGAAAAUAACCAUAGAUAAAUGAAAAAUUAUGUAUAAAAUAAAAAAAAAAUUAUAUCCAAUAAAUUAUAAAAUUUAUAUUUUAUUAUUUUUGAGUCCUCGCAUUUGUCUCCAGUAGUUUUUAUAAUUGAUUUGUGGAGUCUUCUUUCCAUAAUUAUUAUUAGUGUAGGUGUGGUGACACAUAUUCUAAAGUAAGCUUGCAUAUUUGUCAAUGAAAGAUUGACUCAUUUAGUUUAUUUCUAUUAAUAAGUGUUAGUUGUUAGUUUUAUUUGUUAAUGAAAAAGUUAAACUUAUAAUCUUUUUCUUCUUCUUUUUUUUUUUUUUUUACAAACUCUUAAAAUCAAUUUUAUAUUUCAAUCGAGUCUUUCUACCGUACGAAAAUAUACAUUCAAAACUUUAUGACAAAUGCAUCGUAUUUAUCAACUUCACAUAUGUAUAUAUAAAUUUUGAUAUGUACAUUUAAAAUAUAUUACCAAUUAAAAUAUUCAAAUUUAAUAACUAUUAUUCAACAAUGCUUUAAGUAAAUUAUUUGAAUGAUGUUUUCUUUUUAAACCUAAUACGUUUUUUAUUUUACGAAAAGUGACUACCUAAAUAAAUAAAAUUUGUAUAUUUUAGUCAUAAUUUUUUUUUUUUAUUUACUAUUAAUGAAAACAGAUGUGCUACGCAUAUGUGUUUGCUUUUUUAUAAUAGUAAAAAAAAUAUUAUUAUUAUAGUAAUAAAAGUAAAUUUCAAUAAUUUUUACAAUUAUAUUGUAGGUAAUGUAUAUUUUUUUAGAUAAUGCUUUUAUUGUAAUAGUUAAUGAAAUUUUAAAGAAUUAGUUAAAUUUUAGAAAAAACGGUCAACUUGAAAAAAAAAACGCUUAAAAUUGAAAGAAAAAGUUACUUAAAGGAUAAAAUUUGUAAAAUAAUUAUUUUAAUUUAAAAAAUACUUAAAAAGAUAAAAUUAGAAAAAAAAAAUGUAUACACAAAAGAGAGAGACCUCUCUUCAUACAAGUAUAGUUAUAGAUAUCAGUGAAAACACAUAUUCUAAGCGCAUGUGUUUACCUCUCUUCUUUUUAUGAUAACAAAAACUAAUAAGAUUAUGAAUAUUAUAAUAAUAAUAAAAGUAAAUUAAAUUAUUUUUAUAAUUCCAUUGUAGGUAAUGUUUAUUUUUCUUAGAUAGUUUUUAUUGUAAUAGUUAUUAAAGUUUAAAAAAUAGUUAAAUUUUAGAGAAAAAACAAUCAAAUUGAAAAAAAAUUGUUAAAUUAAAAUAAUAAUCACUUAAAGGAUAAGAUUGAUAAAGUUAUUAUUUUAAUUUAAAAAAUACUUAAAACUUAAAAUUGAAAACAGAAUGUAUACACAGAGGUAAUCCUCUUUAUAUGUAUCUGUGUAUUAAAUAUAUAACGAGGGAAACUUUUCGAACAAGAAUUAAACUCGAAGAUAUUGGGUAUUGAAGAUGUACAAAAUGCUAAUUUAGAAAUGGUAGUGAGUUAAAAAAUAAUAAGACUUUAUUAUUUUAAUGUUAAAAGAAUUUAAUAUAAAAAAAAAUUGUUAUAAAUGAAUUUUAUUAUUUUAAAACGUAUAAUUUUUUUAUAAAUCACUUUUUUAGAAUUUUUUAUUUUUUUUCUAAGUGUUCUUGUUCCUAAGUCAUCUGUUUGACGAUCACGAUGUGUCUUUACGAUCACAGCGUCAAGGUUUACAAAUUUACCCGAUUAAUUUCAAGAAUAGAGUAAGUAAGUUUUGAUUCAUUUUUCUCUUUCCAAUCCGAAAUCUGUUUUAGAAUAAUCUAGUACUAUUGCAUGUGUAAUCAUGCUUCUUCUAGUCAUUCUUGGUUCACCUACAGUUCUAAGGACUCUACCCGUUUCCAAUUUGGUGUUUCGUAGGUUCGUCUAGAGAUUCCUUACGUUUCAAGCAAUCGACGAAACGUCCUUUGAAUAGGGUAGUUUACUGUGAGUUAAGGGAAGUUAGACUUUAUAGCGGAAAUUUAUGGUCUAAUUGAAUGAUAAAUUGAUUUGAGUAAUAAUUUAUAUGUUAAUGUUUCUACUAUUUUUUGUCAUGAUGACAAAUGAUCAAAUGAUGUGUGAAUGCUUGGUAUUGAGUGUUUAAAUGUUUCUGCAGUUUUGAUGAUGUAUGAUGAAGAUGUUUGACUGUUUGAAAUGGAAAGAAAAUGAGUGAAAUUGAAAAAGAGUCGGUUACUUGAGUUUUAAGCAUAAAAAGGGGAUGUUAAUUGGUAAAUUUUUUAGGAACUAGUUAAUUGAAGGGUAUAACAGUUCGAGGUCAAUUGGGAAUUCAUUUAGGACUUAUCAAGCUUUCAAACUAGUAAAAUCUGGUAUAAGAGGUUUUGAAUGGUUUGUGAGUGAGUUUUUACAUGUUUUUGGUUAUAACUUUGAGUUUUGAGUAGUGAAAUUGUGAGGGAAGGAUUGUAAACUGUUUUAGAGAGUUUUUGGUAAGUUAGGAGAUCAAUUAGGACUUGUUUAGAAGGCUUAUAUAAGAAAAGUUUGUUGUAGAAGUGAAAAGUGUUUCAUACGUUGAGUUCUUUAGUCAUUUUAGAGGUUUUAAGUGACGAGAAUGUAAAAUAGGAAGGUUGUGAUGAAAUUGAGUUGUUGGAGGGUGCUAACAAGUGUAUUUAUACUUGGUUGUGCAGUUUGUAAACUGAUAUAGAGGUUAGAAAGUGUAGAAUUGAAUUUGGUAGCUUAUAGGAGUGAAAAUGGGGUUUUAAGUGUCAAUUUGAGUUCCAACAGUGUUUACAGAGUUUUUAAAAGGUCUGAAGGGUCCUAGGGGUCUUUAGAAGUCGGGGUAAAGUGUUCAAAGUGAGAAAAUUGAAUUUUAAUUUUAUUGAUAGCGCUAGCGUUGAAAAUGACGAAAGUUACACUCUAGGAGUUGAAAACCAGUGCUGGGAGCUAAUGUUACAACACUGAGCGUUAUUCCUAGGCGCUCAGGUGCUACUAGGCGACGUUGUACCAGUUUUGGACCCUUCUGGAGCUAUUGGUGAGGGAUUCAAAGUUGUUUUCCUUGCCUAUGUUUGAGUUUGAAGGAGUUUUGUGUUGUUUAGUGGUUCUUCUUGGGUUGUUCUUGUGUAUUAAUGUAUAUGGAAUGGUUUCAUGUAAUUUUUGAUGACUUGUUGGGAUUGUUUAUGGUCCUUUGAAGUAUAAUCAAUGUUAUAUAUGUUUGUAUGCAAGGUCAAAGUGAACAGUUAUAUGUAUAUGGUUUCAAAUGGAUCCAUGUACUUACUGUAUGCAAUGUAUAUCUAAAUAUAUGGUUUAUAUGAGAAUGAAAGUGGUGUGUAAUGUAAUAUGAGAAAAGUGUGCUAUGAGAAGAAUCUCAAGGAGAGAUUCUAUAUUAUAGCAUGUUGUAAGAGAAUAUUUGAUAGAGAGAUUGUGGUACCCAGAUAUCUAGAUAUUCUACCAACUAUUUAACUCAUGUAUAGUUGAAUGGGGUGGCGGAGAGAAUGGCAGGAGGUCUUCACCCAAGCCCUCUGAGUUUUAGGAGUAGAAGAUUUACCUCAUGGUGACUAGGUCGAGUUACCCUUGUUUAUAACUCUGCAGAGUGUAAAUACUACCAUAAAUGCAUGCCUGUUGUAGUCUAUAUCAGCAUUAUAUCAAGAUUAAUGAGUAUAGUUAUUUUGUGGUUGAAUGAAUUGUUUGUUCUUGAAUGUUGUUAAUUGUUAAACCAAAUUAUUAUAUGAUGCUUUUCUUGUAUUUAACUUACCUUUACUUUUGUGUUGUCUGUUGUGUGUGUUGUUUUUUCUAUUUAGUUUUCUUAUAUUUGAAUUCCAGCUCUCAGAUAAUAUUUUUUUUUCUAUUCAGUUUUUUACUUUGCAAGUCAUAUCAAUUGUUAUAUUUGUGAGUGAGUGUGGUCUUCAAAAUUAAAGAUAUGUGAGAGGGGUUGUUAGUAUUCGAGUGCAGCUUGAGUGGUACAUCCAAGAAGCUUGACUUGCUUUGUGGUAGUGCACUUGGGGUCGUGCUUCGUGUUAGCUUGGAAUGCUUCUUUUUUGUGCUCUUGUUGGUUGCAUUAAUAUUGCUGGAGAGGGAGGUUAGUAUUUUUUUUUUUUUAAUCUGUUUGCAUGGUUACACUUGCCGGUUGCAUUGAUAUUGCUCAAGAGGGAGGUUAGUAUUAUAUUUUUGUUAAUGUGUUUGCAUGGUUACGGAAGACAACAUGAAUUGGAUAUCGAAAUCCGAAAAUGAACACAUUGGCAAUUGAGAUCCGAUGUAGGGAGCUUCGGAUUUUCAUAUUCGAUACAUGUUUUAUCUCUGUCAAAUGUUUACAUUAUAUUAUUUAUAUUUACAUUAUAUACUUGUUAUAUUAGUUUAUAAUGAAUCUAUGGAUAUUCGUUGUCCACGAUUUCGAACGUAAAAAUCCGAUUCAGGUUUAAUAUGAUAUAUAAAAAGUUAAUUAUAUUACUUAUUUAAUUAUUUUAUUAGUUUAUAUUUAGUUUUAAAAUUAUGUAUUAUUUUGUAUGAGUUUAUAAUGUAAUUAUAUAAUUUUUAAUUAAUAUAAACUAAUUUCUAUGAAUUCAUUAAAAUUAAUGUACAAUAUAGAAUAUCUUGUUAAAGAUAUUGAUAAGCAGACUAUAAAAUAAUUAAAGGAUAAUCAGGAAUAUUCGAAAGAAUAUUUAAUUAAAGAUAUUUAGCAACUAACCAGAUUUUCAAGUAAGUCUGUUUUAUUUUAGGGUUAAAUAUGUUUUUAGUCCCUAUACUUUGGGGCGAUUUUGGUUUUAGUCCCUCUUUCAAACUAAGGUACAAUUUAGUCCUUUAACUUUAGAAAACUCUAAUUUUAGUCCUUUUUACCAAUUUUUUUUAACUUUAUUGGCUAUUUCAAGCACGUUUCAUUAUAGCAUUUGGAUUGUUUACACUGUUUGACACAUUUUUUCUUCAAUGUUAACUGAGAAACGUGCUUGAAAUAACCAAUAAAGUUAAAAAAAAUUGGUAAAAAGGACUAAAACUAGAGUUUUCUAAAGUUAAAGGACUAAAUUGUACCUUAGUUUGAAAGAGGGACUAAAAGCAAAAUCGCCCCAAAGUAUAGGGCCGAAUGGUCAAAGGUGAAGGAGAGCGAACAGUCAAGAUCCAAGAAAAGCAAGCGAUCCGGUCAAUCUAAAUAUCGCGUUCGCCAGGUUAGUCUCUCGGUUCUACAAAAUAUCCACCGAAACAAUUAAUAAAACUAUUUUUGAUUAAGAAUAAACUUAAUGAGUCUAUCGGAUAUGAAAAUCCGAUGUUCUUGGGAUGUCAAAAUCAAUUCAUGUUUAAUGUUAUAUAUAAAAAUUUAAUUAUAUUUAUUAUUUUCAAACUAUGGUGUAAUUUAGUCCUCCAAUUUUAGAAAACUCUGGUUUUAAUAUUUUUUAUCAAUUUUUUUUAACUUUAUUUGUUGUUUCAAACACGUUUCAUUAUAGCAUUUGGAUUGUUUACACUGUUUGACACAUUUUUGCUUCAAUGUUAACUAAGAAACGUGCUUGAAACAACAAAUAAAGUUAAAAAAAAUUGGUAAAAAAGACUAAAACCAGAGUUUUCUAAAGUUGAAGGACUAAAUUGUACCAUAGUUUGAAAAUGGACUAAAACCAAAAUUGUCCCGAAGUAUAGAGACUAAAAACAUAUUUAACCCAAUUAUUUUAUUAAUUUAUAAUUAUUUUUAAAAUUAUGUAUGAUUUUUUAUGAAUUUAUAAUUUAAUUAGAUAAUAUGUAAUUGUUAAAAUAUAAUUCUUAUUAAUGUUUUAGAUUUUUGCAUGUUAAUUUAUUAAUAUUAUUUAACUAGGUUUGUUUUAUACAAAAAUUUGAUAAAACAAGUUAACUUCAUUUUUAUAAUUAUUAAUUUUUUUUAAUAUAAAAAAUGCAUUUUAAAUACUUAAUAUUUAUAAUUUUUUAGAUAUGAAAAUUGAUAUAAAAAAUUUUAAUAAUUUUUUAUAUAGUUUUAAGUUUAUUUAUUUUGGUAUUUUUUUUAAGUUGAUUACAUUCUUAAUAAAUUUAUAAAUGUAUAAUUUAUUGUAUUAGUUUAUGAUUUUAUAAUAUAAUUAUUAAUUUUGAAUUUAUUGUAUUAAUUUUUUAUUUUGUUAUAGGUGAUUAUAGUCUAAAUGAGCGAAUAUCGUUAGGGGAUGAAUUCUGAAAUAAAUUCUACCAUGUUACCAGAAUUUUUGUCCUUUAUAAAUGAGGUUGUUGAAGGAGAUCUGACGAAUCAUUUCACAACAAAUAAAAUUUUUUCCUCUCGUGAAAACUUAAUUGAAUGGGUAAGAAGGAUUGGAUAUGAUCUAGAAUAUGUAUGUUGUUGGAGGAAAACGUUUGUGUUGCUAAGAUAUGAAAGAGGUGGAAAAUAUAGAAAAUACAAACCCAAUGUCCAACCUAGUACGUAUGACACCCAAAAAUGUAAGUGUCCUUUCCAGUAAAGGGAAAAGCCAUCUUGUAAUGGCGAUGAUGGAUAUUCCAAGUGAUAUACGGAUACCACAACCAUGAUUUAGCAGAAACUUUAGUGGGACAUCCUUAUGCUGGUAGGUUUUAUUGGGUGUAUCGAGGAGGAGGUUACCUUGUGGAUUACACAAACACAAAUAACAUCCAACCACAUAAGGGAUCGACACCACUCUUUACCCAAAACCUUAAGGCAUUGGAUUAGUGGGUCUUUCAUAUUAUAUAGUGCUAUACUUUCUCAUUUUUAUCCAAUGUGUGACUUAGACUCACACUUGGAUUCCCAACAGAUAUGACUAAAACCCAAGUAACACUUGCAAAUAUUUUGUUGACUCUCAAACAAAAUAAUUAUCAUAAUGUAACUACAAUAAAACAAGUUUACAUAGUAAGGUAUAUAUAUAUAUAUAUAUAUAUAUAUAUAUAUAUAUAUAUAUAUAUAUAUAUAUAAACGCUUGUUGAGACGGUCGAAAGCUAAGUUGUAAAAGUUGAUGAUGAUGUUGGAUUGCGACAAGUACAUACAUUGGAGUAGAUGUGUGGAGGAUUGAGGUUGUCAGUGACCUCUUUUGGACACAUCAUGAUGCAAUCAAGUUAUUGAAUUAUUUAAUGUUGUUUUGUUAAUGGAUUCGACUUAUAAAACAAAUAAAUAUCAAUGUCGUUGUUAGAGAUUGCUGGUAUGACAUUUAUUGGAUUGACACUAGUGCAAAAACGUUGUUUAACGUCACCCAUUAGACGUCGGUUUCGUGAAAAACCGACAUCUAUCACUGCACGGUGGCAUUAUCGUAAAUAUAUUGGAAAACUAGACGUCAGUUACGCUGUUAGGCGACGUCUAUGACAUCAUAGACAUCGAACAUGCCGACUAUCCGACGUCCAAUUGUCUGAGGUAUGUGAUAAGACAGUCAAUUCGACAUCGGCUAGAAAAGGGCACCGACGUUCAAGUCACUUACAGGAAAUCAAACGUCAACUGGUUCAGCUUUAGACGUCGCAUAGACGUCGGAUCCCCUAAAAACCCGACGUCGACUGGGCGACAAUUUAUGCUGUUCACCUAAUUCUCAGGCACUUAGACGUCAGAUAGUCAAACGGCGACGUCUAAGGCCUGUCUGGAAGGCGGGAAGACAAAAAUUCUUCAAUUUUGACGUCGGCUAGGAGGGGCACCGACGUGAACUACCCUGACAGGAAAUCAAACGUCAAUCUUUUCAGCUUCUUUGACGUAGAAUAGAUGUCGAAUCCCCUGAAACACCGACGUCUAUAGACGUCGGUUUCUGGAGCAACUGAUGCCCCAUUUCAUUUUAAAUAGACCGCAGACUCUUAUCGUCAUUCAGUUUCUCAUCACAUCUUCAUCUCUUCUCCUUUUUCUCUAUUUCUCCUCUUCUUUUACUCGCUUGCGCACCUCUACUUUUUAUCUCUUGCGGCAUUGCAUUGUGGUUUCUCAUAACGUCAUGGUCUUCGUCCUCUCCUGCAUCCUAGGUGUGUGGUUUUUUUUUAUGCUUUACCGUUUAAACUUUCUUUAGUUUUUUAUCGAUUUUCUUGUCAUUCAACUGAUUAAAAUUUGGCUUUCUUUGUGUUGUGUUUUAGUGCAGUUUUGAUCCUUUCUUUGGGUAACAUAGUGUAACAUUCUCCCUUUGCUGGUUUCCUCACAAGAAGAGUGGCGAUCUUUUGAGUUUUCUAUGGCUUUUCGACCCAAAAUGGAACUUGGGUCCUUGUCUAGUUCUCGUGUCACCGUAAUUUUUUUCUUUUGCGGUUGAAUAAUGGGAAGUAGUCAUGGACCCAGGUUCGGUUUUGGGUUGAAAGGUCAUAAAAGAUUCAAAAGACGCAAGCUUUUUUUGUGGGGAAAUUAGCGAGAGGAGAGUGUUGCACUAUGCUAUCGAAAGUUUGGAUCAAAACUGCACUAAAACACAACGCCUUUGUUAGACGUCGGUUAGUGCAUGGUCUGACAUCUAUAAGGAACAUAGACGUCGGUUAGUGUCAUUUACAACUUCUAUAUAUUCAUGUUGUCGUCGGUUUAAGCAUAGGUGGACGUCUAUAUAGAGUAAUUAGACGUCGGUGUAAGUAUAAGCAGACAUCUAUGUAGACGUCGAUCGAUAUCGUUAAUUGACGUGCAUAUAGACGUCGGUUCGGAGGAAUUGCGACGUCCCAUAGACGUCACCCGUAUAGACGUCGGUUGUGAAAGUGACGUUAAAAGCCCAAAUUAACCGACGUUAAAUAGCGUUUCUGCACUAGUGUGACUUCCUUAAUAUAUAAACUUGUUGAAGAGUAUAAAGAGGCUGUCAUUUGAUCUCAAUUAUAAUAUCUAUUGAAUAUAUAUAUAUAUAUAUAUAUAUAUAUAUAUAUAUAUAUAUAUAUAUAUAUAUAUAUAUAUAUUUGAAUUGGAUACCAAAUAAAUAUAUUAAUAACAAUAUUUAAUUGGGAUUACAACAAAAGAAAAAAAUACAGUACAAAAUAGAAAAUAGCAAGUAAAACCAAAUGUUGUUUAAUAACUUCACUCUUUACUUACGCACGUAAGUUGAGAUGUCGAGUCCAUCAAUUGAAGAUGAGCUUUAAACUACAAGCUCAUUGACAACCUCCUUCAUAGUAGGGCGAGAUUGUGGACUUUCAGUCAUGCAAGCAAGUGCUAUCUUCGCAACUGAUGCCACCUCUUUAAGUAAAUGUUUUGUUGGAGGAGGGAGACGCUGCUCCAACUUAUCCAUCAAUGUCAUAUGAUCAACAGUGGACGAAGAUGAUAAUAAGGAAGAUAUAAAAUCACCAGGAUGCUUUCCCAGAAGUAUUUCCCAUGCCAAUACUCCAAAACUAUACACGUCACAUUUUUCAUUCACUUCCAUUAUGUAUGCAAGUUCUGAAACAAACUAAAAAGCUGAUAUCAUAUGCAUUAAAGGAAAAUAUAGUGACAAAGAUAAAAUAUAGAUAAUUGUGACCAACAAAGAAAAACUAAAAACUAUGGUACAAGGAAAGAAAAUUGACCUGGAGCGGCAUAUCCGAAGGUUCCUACAAAUGAGGUCCAAUUGGAUGAAUUGGGAUUAAGAAACUUNGNUGUUCCGAAAUCNGAGACAUGUNCCACAUAUUCNAAAUCCAAAAGGACAUUUUUACUUGAUAUAUCACGAUGAAUAAUUGGUGGUGAGCAAUCAUAAUGCAUGUACAAUAAAGCAUUUGCUACAUCUUUAAUAACAUUCACUCUCUUAUUCCAAUCAAAAGCAAUUGCUUGUUCAUCAUCCUUCAAAAUAUUCUGGACAUUGCCCUUCUCCAAGAAUUCACACACCAUAAAUGACCAUUGAGAAUGUGAACAAAACCCAUAUAACUUUACAAUGUUACGAUGCCGAAUUUCUGUCAGAGCUUGGAUCUCACUUGUGAAAGCUUUCACAUUGAGGUUUUCUUCAUUUGAAACUGAAUGAAGUUUCUUUACAGCCACAACUUGACCUGAGGAUAACACUGCUUUGUAAACUUGUCCUUGCCCUCCAACUCCAAUGAGAUGCUUAUCGUCAAAAUUUUCAGUGGCUUCAACAAUAUUCUCGAAUACCAUUUUGCCAUCAAAACUCCAUAUUGCAAAUGUGUUUGAAGUUUGCAAAUUGGUAGGUUGAUCUUCCAGUUUCGCUGAAGUUUUGCAUAAAUAAUAAAAGACUCCAAAAAUAAAUAAUGCUAGUAAUAGACUGCCCAAAGUAAGGGGUAAAACCACUAUUAUGACUUUCUUUGUCGUUUGAUUGUGCGACUUUCGACCUAAUGUUGGGCAAGGCUCCAAGCCACUAAUUUGGCCACACAAGCCUUUAUUAUUUCUUAUAGCUUCCAUUGUAGCAUUGCGAAACACUGGAAUGUUUGGAAGUGGACCCUCAAAAUCAUUGUAAGAUAUAUCAAUAGAUGUCAAGCUCAUCAUAUCAUCAAAGCUAGAAAGAUCACCUGAGAGACUAUUGUGAGAGAGAUUCAAUGUUUCUAAUUUUUGUAAUCCUCCAAGCACAUGUGUUAAUCUUCCCCUCAAUAAAUUUUCACUGAGAUCAAGAGUUGUAAGAGAUAUUAAUUUGCCAAGCUCUAAGGGAAUAUUUCCCUCAAAUUUAUCCAGGCUCAAAUUCAUGUUCCAUAAAUUGAAUAAAUUUCCAAGUUGGAUUGGAAUUGAGCCAGACAAAUUAUUAGAUCCAAGACUCAGAAUUUGAAGAUUCUUCAUUGAUACAAUUUCUAUUGGAAUAUUUCCUGAAAGAUUAUUGUUGUUGAGUGAUAGAUCAUAUAAUAAGACCAAAUUACAUAAAUCUCGUGGAAUGUUUCCCGUAAGAUGAUUUGAGAAUAAAUGAAGUGCUUGUAAUUUGGUUGCCCCGCCUAGCUCUGGUGGGAUAAGACCUGAUAAGUUAUUAUUUGAGAUCUUGAGGCUUGUGAGGCUGCGGAACUUCCCCCAAUUUGGUGAAAGAUGACCAUACAAAUUGUUUUCACUCAAUUCGAUGUAGUCCAAGUUUGGAAGUACACCAAAAGCAUCUGUUAUGUUUCCAGUUAGUUGAUUUCCCUCAAGUCUCACUCGUAUAAGGGUAGAGCAAUUCUUCAAACUCUCUGGAAUAUGGCCAGUGAAAUGGUUAUUCCUAGCGGAAAAUUUUGCCAACUUUCCACCAACACAAAUGUUGUAAGGUAAAUGGCCAACAAAAUUAUUAUCACCUAGCUGAAAAUUUUCAAAACCUAUAAUCAUGUUUAUUUCUAUUGGAAUCUUGCCACUGAGAUUAUUGUCAAAUAAAGAUAAUUCACGAAGCUUCGACAAAUUUCCAACAGUGGAAGGAAUGGAUCCAGAGAGGUUGUUUUGAUUAAGAUAAAUGGCUUUCAAAUUGACCAGGUUACCUAUGGAAGUAGGGAUUGGUCCAGAGAGGUUGUUUUGAUCAAGAUAAAUGGCUUCCAAAUUGACCAAGUUACCUAUGGAAGUAGGGAUUAGUCCAGAGAGUUUGUUUUGAUAAAGAGAAAGAAAUUCCAAAUUGACCAGGUUACCUAUGGAAGCAGGGAUUGGUCCAGAAAGAUUGUUUUGAUAAAGUAAAAUAGAUUCCAAAUUGACCAGGUUACCUAUAGAAGUAGGAAUUGGUCCAGAGAGAUUAUUGCCCAGCAACUGGAUUGUUAGAAGGGAAUGCAAAUUUCCUAUUUCAUCCGGGAUAAAGCCAGAGAAUUGGUUGUUAUAAAGGUAAAGAAAACUUAGAUUGCUCAAGUUUCCAAUUGUGGAAGGGAUUUUACUAGAGAGAAAAUUCUCAGACAAAUCAAGUUCACUGAGUUUUCUCAAAAAUCCAAUUUCAUGAGGAAUAAAACCUGACAAUCGGUUUCCUUUAAGGUAAAGUUUGUUUAGAUUGCUCAAAUAUCCAAUUUCACGAGGAAUAGAGUCGGAGAGAUUAUUACUUUGAAGAUAUAGCAUCUUGAGGUUUAUCAACUUACCAAUUUCACUAGGAAUAUGACCAGAAAGUUGAUUGUCAUGUAAGCUGAGAAGUGAUAGAUUGGUCAAAGCUCCAAUUGAAAAAGGUAUGGACCCAAAUAGACCAGAAGAACUCAUGUCAAGCUCUAUUAAUUUCCCCAACAUCCCAAUUUCUUGGGGGAUGGUGCCAGAAAGGCCACUUUCCGCAAGAUAUAGAAUCUCUAGGUUCCUCAUAUUCACAAUUUCUUUGGGAAUGGAACCAUGGAAUUUAUUAGUUCCAAAUGACAAAUGGUCUAGGUCCAUGUGCCAAAUUCUCUGAGGAAUGCUGCCAAAAAGGUUAUUGGCUCUUACAUCUAGAUGAAUCAAAUUGUUCAACUUUUCUAUAGAGAUUGGGAUUGUCCCUGUGAGAUUGCAAUAAGGAAUAUGAAGCAUUUUGAGCUCCCUCAAUCUCCCUAUUUCUUGGGGAAGGGACUCACUGAAAGUAUUAUAACUCAUGUUCAACUUUUGAAGGCUAAUCAACUGUGUUAUUUCAGAAGGGAUAAUCCCAGAAAGUUUAUUAGCAGACAAAUCAAGAACAACUAGAUUGGACAGAACACCAAUUUGAGGAGGAAUACUUCCAUUUAGAAAGUUGGUACUCAGAUUUAGAGUGUGAAUAUUUGUAAGCAUUGAGAAAUUGAGAUUUUCAAGCGUACCUCUUAAUCCAAUAUUUUGAAGAUUUAUUUGGGAAACAUGAUUGGAGUGAUCACAUGCAAUUCCGAGCCAAUUGCAGGAAGUGUUGGCAAUCCAUGAAGAGAGAGAAGCUUGGCUCUGCUUGUCAAGGCUGGCUUUCCACUUUAGCAGAGCAUUUGCUUCUGAAGCAAUUCCAGAAGAAUUGAAAGCAUGAGAAUGGGUAAAUGGACAAAAGAACAUUAGAAGAAUCAACCAAAAAGGUUGGAACUUCAAGGACAGAAGUGUUGGAAAUAUGAACAUCAUACUGAAUUGUUCAUACAAUAUUGAAUUGCAACGUAAGAGAAAGCUUGCAUGUUGUUCAUACAAUGUGCCGCUACUUAUAAACUAAUAGUCAAUGGUAUAUGACUCAAGUCAACAUUAUUAACUGCAUGUUGGCGUGUUCCAUAAUUUAUCGUCUUUAAUACGGCUGUAAGUUUCUUCCACUUAAAUUUAUUAAAGGACUAAAAUAUUUUAAUUUGCAGAAAUUAAAAUGUAAAUUAUAUAUUUUGAGUGGUUAAAAAAUCACUUUUAAAUUUAACGGACUAAAAUAAAGUUUAAUGCAAAUUUUAGAGAAUAAAAACAUUUUAGCCGGAAAAAUCUUGAAAAUGUAUUUCCACAUUAUUAUUUUACGGACAUGAUCCAGAUGUUGUUAGCCACGUUAACCAUCUUAACAACUAAUGUAACGAUAUUAUAUUAUUGAUGAGGAACAAAAGGAUUAUUUUUAGAAUUUUAAAAUUAAAAGUAAUUUUUAAUUUAGGAAUCUAAAUCAGAAAAAAAAAAUCAAAUAUAAAGAUUAAAAGUAUUUAACGAUAAAGUUGUUAUUUAUGUUUGAAUUAAAUAUUUUUUUUUAAUUUUUAAAUUUUGAUCUGAAAUUAGAAUAUGUGUCUACUUAAAAUUUUGAUUCAUUUUUAUCCAAAAUUUUAAUAAUAAUAGAUAUAUUUAUUUUAAAUCAAUUAUUUUUGUGAGGAAAAUGAAAUAAAUCAUAAACUUAAGAUUGUUUUUUAAGGAAAGAAAAUAAUUAUUUAUAAUAGAAAAGUUGUGUAUAAAAUAAAAAAAUUAUUUCCAACAAAAUUAUAAAAUUUAUACUUUAUUAUUUUGGAGUAAAAAGAUGUAUCUCGCAUUUGUCUCCUGUAAUGUUUAUAAUUGAUUUGUGGAGUCUUGUUUCCACAAUUAUUAUUAGUGUAGGUUUUGUGAGAUAUAUUCUAAAACUUGCAGUUUUGUCAAUGAAAGAUUGACUUGAGUACUUUUUUUAUUGACAAGUGUUAAUUGUUCGUUUUAUUUAUUAAUGAAAAAUAAUUACACAUAUUUUUACGCUGUAAAAAUUCUUUAUCUUUAAUAAUACAUCGUCUAGUCUUUGAAAAAAUUUCUUAGUAACAAAUCUUUUGUAUUAAUCAAGAUUCUCUCUAAAAGAGAUUUUCAAUUUGUACUUAUUUAAAAAAAAUACUUUAUUAUUUUUAUGAUUUAAAACAUUUGUUUGUUUAACUUAAAAAAAGUUAAAUGGUUUUAGUCAAUUGAGUUAUUGUAAUACUAAGAACGGUGAACCAAAUUGUAAUUUUUUAAAGUUAGUGAAACUUUUUAAGAAUGUUUGUGCUUAAAAGAGAAUGGACUUUGUCAAUUGGAGUGAACUAAUAAUGACUAAGGAUGAGAUGUCUUUUUUAGAUAGUUUAAAUGAAUGCAUAUUUAUUAAAUAAGAGAGCAUAUUUUCUAUAAUAAAUGGACGUUAUAUGACUUGUUAGAUUCAUCGUUGCUAAUUCAAUAAGCGACAUAUUAGAAGACAUUAUAUUAUAUGUUAUGUGGAAACAUACUUUUUUGCAUGUGCUUAUGUGUUGUUGGCAUACAACAUGGAUAAUAUAUUUUCAUGUUAUUUUGCUUGUUGUAUGGUAUAUGUUAUUGAUGGGUCGGUCCAACUGAUGCGUUAGGCAGAAGUCAGUCAGAGCAAAUGGUUUUGUAUAUAAUGGGUCGAAAUUGGUCCAACAUCUGAUUUACUAGACCGUAACAAGACCAAUGCGUAAAUUAUGAUUAGGAAGCCAAUAAUUAUUAUUGGAUUAUAACUGGCAGUUAGCAAAAUAAUAUAUAGAAAAGAAGGUAAGACAAUUUUAUUAGAUCCGUAAUAGUUUAAGAUCCAACAGAUAGCCUAUAAAUAAAGGGUUAGACCAUUAAGAUACGCAAGUUUUACAAAAUUCUGAAUGUACAAUAUCUGUCAAAUAUCAUCAUUAUUCUCAAGCCUGUCAUUGACUUAAGCGUCGGAUCUGAAGUGCCUUUAACCGACACCUCUCCCCGAAAUUGGACUGAAAGAACUUGAAGUACGAGAUACAAAGGUCAGAUGGCAAAGACAAAAAUGUUAGUCUCUUAGUCCUACAUAAAAUAUAUACAGAAACACUUGUGUAUAGACUUCAUUAUACUUUCAUUAUUGAAAGAAAAAUGCUUACGGAGAAUAAAUCAAAUUUAGAAGAAAAAUAUAUUUGGAAAACUUUGUAAAAUACAAUAUCACUUUUUUUUAUUCACUGUUGCAACAUUAUGUGUCAAAACAAGAAUUUUUUGAUCAACUUAAAUUCGAGCAUGCUUUUCAAAGCCUUGUGUCUUACAAAGCCUUCGUAGUGACAAAAAUCCAAACAACUUUGCAUUGUAUAAUUUUUUCAGACUUGAAGAAUCCCUUAUCAAUCAUUUCAAACGAUGGUGUACACCCAAUUGCAUCAUCAAUUGUUAGAUAUGAUCUUUUAUAAAAUAAUUUAUUAUUAUUUUGAGUAUAUUUUGUAGCAUUAGUUGCCUAAAGGUUAACCUCAAUUAUAGCUUGUCAGUUAUAAUGGCAACCUAAAUUAUAGCUUGAAAUUUGUAUAUAUUCCUUAUCAAUGAAUAUGCAAAGCACAGAUGAUUUUCUUCAUGGUAUCAGAUUAGGUUACCUUCCUCAAAUCCUAAAAACCUAGUCGUCAUUGUUCUUCUCUUCUUCCAAGCAAUUUCUUUUCCCCCUUCCUUCUUCCCAUUGUUGCCCAUCAAUGGCCGAAAAUUCCAAAUUUCACUCUGCCCUAGCUGUCACCAACGUGAAGCAUCUUAUUCCAAUCACCUUGGACAUGGAAACCGGCCAAUAUCACUCAUGGGCAACCUUAUUUAAGGUCCAAGCUAAAGUUCAUUCAGUGCUUGAACAUAUCAUCCCUCCACCGGAUGAUGCAGCCAUAACAACAUAUCAAACAACCAAGGCCGUUGAUAUCCCACUAUGGAACCGUCUUGAUGUUGUUGUACUUCAAUGGAUUUAUGCGACUAUAUCUCCUUAUAUUCUCACAUCGAUCCUCGUGGCUGAUGAUUCGGCUGAAAGAGCCUGGCAGCGUGUCGCUGAUUUAUUCCAAGAUAACAAAAACUCUAGGGCGAUGUAUCUUGAAACUCAGUUCACAAACACGUGCUUGACUGAUUUCUCCUCAACCUUCGCCUAUUACAACCACCUCAAAUCUCUUGCUGACCAAUUAUCUAACGUCGGGGCUCCUAUUUCAGAUCAACGUUUUGUGCUCCGCUUGCUCGCUGGAUUAACUGAAGCCUAUGCUAGUUUUGUCACGGUUAUGCAACAGAAAGAUGAAUUGCCCAGUUUUGCUACAACAUGUUCUUGUUUAAAGAUGGAAGAGACCACGAUUAAGGAGUGAGCAACCCGUGAAUCUGGUUCCACUGCCCUCUUAACCGUGGAUGAAGGCUUCUUUUCACAGCCGCAACACCAAAACAACAACAUCACUUAAUCACAGGGUCGUAAUAAUACCAAUCGAGGCAAGAAAAACAACCGAGGUAGAAGAUAUGUAUCUUGUUCUAUGUUUGAUUAUGUUGAUAAAAUCAGUAUGUAUGUAUGUAUCUUGUUAUUAUGAUUGUUUUAUCGGUAGCUUACCCCAUACAUGUUUGUGUUUGUGUGUUAGUGAAUGAAAUUAUCGGUGAUGAUCGUAUAAUUUGUUACACAUGAGAAAAUAAUAUUACAGAUGUUCCAAAGGCGUGAUUGACUAGAGAAAGGAUGCAAAAUAACCUUGGGAUUCAUUUAAAGCUAUUUUGUUUUACAAGUUAAGACAAAUUGGAGUAUUUCCUUUGUUAUUUUAUUACUCGAAAUAAUGUAAUUGGAUAAGGUUUUCUUUAAGUACGUUUUUGUGUAAUGAUAAAGUUUUGAUAUUUACCAAGCUUUUGUUAAACUGCGGCAUCCCAAAAAUUGGGGUGUUACACUUCCUACACCUCCAACUCCCUAAAAUGUCCCUAGUAAAUGAGGUUUGUAAGUAGUAAUUGUUGCUUACCGAAUUUGAACUUCCAACCACUACUUCAUUCACCGUCAUCCCUUUUUUCCUCCUUAUAUCCUCUUUCUUCAUUGUCAUUUAUUUUGUUUUCUUUCUUGUUGUGGUCCAUUAUUGUUUCAAUUGUUUUAGUGUGGCUUUUCUUUGUGGUGCAUUUGUCAUGGUCCAUUUUAGGUGGGGUGUUUGUGGUUUGUGUUCCUGGUGUUGGUGUGUCUAGUUCAUUUUGUCGGGAAGAAAUAGUCAUAUGCUGAUAUAUCUUCGUCUUCAUGCAAGCUUUCACUGCCUUCAAAAGCUUUCUCUGUGUGAAAAGCAAAUGCAUGAAACCUAUACUCCAAUUCGCAGGGUUCAAUGGAUUUCGAAAUCCCAUGAGACCUCAAAGAAUUUUGAAAUUUGUCAAUGCCUUCAAUGGAUUCCUCGACGAAUUUCGAAGGCCUCGAUGGAUUUUAAAAUCCAUUAAAGAAUAUUUCUACUAUUAGUUAUAAUUUUAAGUAUUUCCAAAUUAUUACAAAUUUUUUAUUUAUUAUUAAUUUGUUAUACGGUUUUUUUUAAUUUCCUUUAAAUGUUUUAUUAUUUUAAAUGUGUGAAUAAUUUGUUACAUAGUUUUUAAUAGUUUUAUUUUGAAGUUUCAUUAUUUAAAAUUUUUAAAAAAUUUGUUAGAGGGGUGAAUAUUAUGUUACAGGUGAUUAUACUAUAAACGAAACAAUACACUUAUGAUAUGGAUUUUCAAGUAAAUUCUAAAUUUAUAUAAAAUUUUAAUAAUAUACUUAUAAUAUACAGAAAGUUUGUUUUGAUAAAGUAAAAUGGAUUCCAAAUUGAUCAGGUUACCUAUGGAAGUAGGGAUUGGUCCAAAGAGGUUCUUUUGAUAAAGAAAAAUGGAUUUCAAAUUGACCAGGUUACUUGGAAGUAGCGCUUGGUCCAGAGAGGUUGUUUUGAUAAAGAAAAAUGAAUUCCAAAUUGACCAGGUUACUUGUGGAAGUAGGGAUUGGUUUGAAGAUGAUGUUUUGAUAAAGAAAAAUGGAUUCCAAAUUGACCAAGUUACCUAUGAAAAUAGGGAUUGGUACAGAGAGGUUGUUUUGAUAAAGAAAAAAGGAUUUCAAAUUGACCAGGUUACCAAUUGAAUUACGGAUUGGUCUAGAGAGGUUGUUUUGAUUAAGAAAAAUGGAUUUUAAAUUGACCAGGUUACCUAUGGAAGUAGGGAUUGGUUUAGAGAGAUUGUUUUGAUGAAGAUAAAUGGAUUCCAAAUUAACCAAGUUACCUAUGAAUGUGUGGACUGGUCGAGAGAGGUUGUUUUGAUAAAGAAAAAUGGAUUCCAAAUUGAUCAGGUUAUCUAUGGAAGUAGAGAUGUGUCUAGAGAGGUUGUUUUGAUAAAGAAAAAUUGUUUCCAAAUUGAGCAGAUUACCUAUGAUAAUAGGGAUUUGUCCAAAGAAGGUUGUUUUGAUUAAGAAAAAUGAAUUUCAAAUUGACCAAGUUACCUAUGGAAGUAGGGUUGGGUCUAAAGAGGUUGUUUUGAUGAAGAUAAAUAGACUCUAAGUUGAUCAGGUUACUUAUGGAAGUAUGGAUUGGUCCAAAAAGAUUGUUUUUAUAAAGAAAAAUGGAUUCCAAAUUCAUCAGAUUAGUUAUGAAAAUAGAUAUUGGUCCAAAAAGGUUGUUUUGAUGAAAUAAAAUGACUUCCAAAUUAAUCAAAUUACCUAUGGGAGCAAAUUAGAUUUGCCAAUCGACGCAGUGAGGUUCCUGAGUUAUGCUUUGAAGUGUACUCUAAUCUCUUCAAAUUUCAAAAACCUCCAAAAAGUACCGAUGAGAGUUUGAAAACAAAAUAAUGUCAGCGACUUAGAUGAAAGAGAAACAGAAAAAGGAAAGAAAGAGAACACGUUUUUGUCGAAUUAUUGUGCAUAGAAGGAAGUCUUUUGUUUUCCUAUUAGUACCCCAUAAUUUCCAACUACACUCCUUUAUUUUUUUAAAAUAUUUCACUCUUAAAAGGUGAUUUUUGUAUUACUUAUUUUAAAAUAUUUGGAAACAAGUUGUUUAGAAUUUAUGGAUUUCAGAACCGAGUCUUAAAAACAGGUUUAAAUGCAUUUUAGAAGUUUUUCAAAACAAAUGUUUUUGGAAUAUAUCAUAAGUUUUUCGGAAAAAAGUUUUCUAAAACAAACUUUUUAAAACAUAUAAGAUGGAUGCAUUCUAGAAUAGGAUUUUCAAAACAAAAUUUCUAAAAUAAGAUUUGUAGAAUAAGAUUUCUACAAGAUUUCCAAAACAUAUAUGAUAUCUUCUAUGAUGAGUUUUUAGAUAAUUUUCCUACCAAAUCGAUCAUUUUAUCUCUCUUUAUUUUUUUCUCUAAAGAAUGUAGUGGUUAUGAAGUACAGAUAGCAAUUGCGACCACAAGAAUGAGAGGAUAGUUUAAUCCUUUUGCUUUUAGUAUAAGAAUGCAUGUAAUAAUCAUGGGAUGCAAAAAGAAAAGACCACGAAACCCACUAAAAGCUCAACUGAUGACCAUAAAAUAGUGGGUGUUCCUCCCUCCAAGUGGGUCUUGCACCUCUCCACUAUUUUAAUUUAUUUCAAAAAUAUUCUAUACUUUUCCACUAUUUUCUUUUAUUCCAAAAAUACCCUCCACCUCUCCACUAUUCUUAACAACUUUUCUCUUUCUCUCUCUGUAUUAAUGGAGAAUUUAUAUGGCUUAUUAAUGGAACAUUUACAUGACUCAAAUUUGAACUUGUGAUAUAUUUUCUUAAAUAAGUUUGAUUCAAUCUUAUUUUAGUUGUUGAAUAUAUUUUUUCUUUUCAAAUUACUUAGAAAAUGGUAAAAUUUUGUUCUAAAUUUCUAGAAAAAUAUUUAUAUAUGUGUGUGUUUUUUUUACAUAUAAUAUCUAUAAUUUUUAACAUUUUAUUAUGUUUUAAUUCACCAACAUGUUUGACUCAAAUAACUUGAAUAAAAUAUUUCAUUUAUUAGAUAAAUAAUAUAAAAUGUUAUUAAAUACUUAAAAUAUAAAAAAAAGUUAUUUGUUAAAGAUUUAGAAUUUAUUUAGUUCUUUCGUCAUUAUAAAGUUAGUGUAUAAUAAUAAUAAUAUAUCAUUAUUUACUAUUAAUAUUAUGUUUAUUAUUUUGUAUUUGCAUCUAACUUUUAAUUUUAUAAAAUGGAAAUGGUAGAAGUACUAAUAUUGAAGUUUCCUCUGAAUUUUAUAUUUUGUAGUAUAUCUCAAAUUCAAAUCUGAAUCAUGUAAAUGCUCCAUUAAUGCAGAGAGAGAAAGAGAAAAAUUGUUAAGGAUAGUGGGAGGUGUAGGGUAUUUUUGGAAUAAAAAAAAAUAGUGGAGAGGUGUAAAAUAUUUUUGAAAUAAAUGAAAAUAGUGAGAAGAUGCAGGACAAGAUGGAGGGAGCAACACCCUAAAAUAGUUUACAAAUUGAAAUUGGACAAUUUCUUCCAUGUGCACCCCAAGGAGAUAGUUGAAGAGAGUUUCUCUCUACACCUCAAAACGUUUCUUCCUACACCUCCAUCACUUCAUUCAUUCAGUGUCAUCCCCUUCUUCCUCCUUAUAUUCUCUAUUUCUUCGUUGUCAUUUAUUUUAUUUUCUUUCUUGUUUUGGUCCAUUGUUGUUUCAAUUGUUUUAUUCGAGUUUUUCUUUGUGGUCCAUUUCAAGUGGGAUGUUUGUGGUUGGUGUUCUUGAUGCAAGCUUACUUUGCCUUCAAAACCUUUCUCUACGUAAAAAACAAUGCAUGAAAGCUGGCAUUUUUUGUCAAUGAAAAAUUGACUACAAGUCAAUGGAGACGACUCAUUCAAAACUUUAUGAUGGAAUAGUAAAAUAUAUUGAUUUAUAUAAUAUAGGGUUAAAUAUGUUUUAGUCCCUAUACUUUGAGGCGAUUUUGGUUUUAGUCCCUCUUUCAAACUAAGGUACAAUUUAGUCCUUCAACUUUAGAAAACUCUGGUUUUAGUCCUUUUUACCAAAUUUUUUUAACUUUAUUUGUUGUUUCAAGCACGUUUCAUAUAACAUUUGGAUUGUUUACACUGUUUGACACAUUUUUGUUUCAAUGUUAACUGAGAAACGCGUUUGAAACAAUAAAUAAAGUUAAAAAAAUUCGGUAAAAAGGACUAAAACCAGAGUUUUCUAAAGUUGAAGGACUAAAUUGUACCUUAAUUUGAAAGAGGACUAAAACCAAAAUCAUCCCAAAAUAUAGGGACUAAAAACAUAUUUAACCCUACAAUAUAAUUCAACGUGUAUAACAAUGUUUAAUAUAAAACUUACAGUCAACAUAAAUUAUUACAAAAAUAUGAUUAUCAUUCCAAUACAUGCUUAUAAGAAGAUUAGUUGAAUAAUAUUUUUAUUUUUAAAAUCUUAUAUUUUAAUAAUUUUAAGAAAAAAUAACUAUAUAAAUAAGAAAGAGCUUUGUAUAUUAUUGUAUUUUUUUUCCAUUUUUAUAAUUUGAAAGUUUAAAAAUGAAUUUGGAAAUUCCUUAUGAUACUACAUGUGAUUUCAAUAAAAUAGUAAUUGUAUCAUAUAAUUUGUAUCUUACCGUUAUCUGAUAUGUGUCAAUAUAUGUAAUAAAAGUUUGAUACGUUGCUCUUAUCAUAAUUUGAUGCUUUAAACGAGUCGUUUUAAGGGUUUGACAAGCUUUUAUUUAUUGUGUGAUUGAAUUUAUAGGUAAUAAAGUCAUAUUCAUAAAAUGAAAAUUAAGUUAAGCGAAGAAUUGAUGUAUGGAUUUUAUUUUAUAUGUUUUCAAACGUGUUUUUAACUAAUAUUUAAAUAAAAAUGUAUCAAACUGAAUAAAUAAUUCAAAUUUUAUUAUGAAAUAUAUUUGAAAUGUAAAAUAAACUUAACAAAAUUUAAUUAAAAUAAGGAUUAAAUUCAUGUAUUUCUAAAAUUGAGUAACUAAAUUGAAUUAAAGUUUCGAAUAGAAAUUAAUUCUAAUUUUCACUAAACGACCAAAAACAUAUUUAAUCUUAUAUUUUUUGCAUUAUUCAUCAUUUGUAUUUUAGGAUCAUUUUAGUGUUGUUGAAAGUGAUAUUUCCUAUUUUUCCCAUUGUUUUGCAUUAAAGAUGAGCGGAAUCACAUAAGGCAUGAAUACUAUUUUCAAUUCAAAACCUUAAGACAGUGUAUUAAUGGGUCUUCACUUUUAUAAGAUAUUCCACUUUCUCAUUUCUACUCAAUAUAAGACACAUACUUAGAUUCCCGGUAUAAUUUCUAUGUGACUAGGAGGUGUAAUGGUAUAUAUAUUCUGUUAUUCGUGUUAUGAUAUAUAUAUUACAUCCAAUAACUAGAUUGGUUUUUAAGUGAUAGAUAAAAGUUUAGCUGAAAAGUUCCAUUUAAGUCCUUAUUUUUUUGCAAUUCUAGUUUCUUUCAAACAAAAUGAAACAAAAACGUUUAAGACAAAGCUAGUUAUAGCACAUACUAUAUUAAAUAGUAAACUAUAAGUCUAACUGAAGAGGUUUUAAAUAUUAUAAAUUUACUUUUGUCUUUAAUCAAUUUAGAAUCUCUAACAUACCAUUUCAAGUUGAGACAUGUGAACGAUGAUUUAGUUUUCUCCUAUUGGUAAGUCAAAGUAUGGGUGUAACAAAAAUUACUGUUAAAAAGAAAAGCAACAUGUUAAAAAGGCCCGAGAAGAUGUUGGUGUUUUCUUAGACACUUUCGCUCCUGGUGCCAAACUGUGUUGGAGAUCCCAGACAACUUUGCAUUGUACUAUGUCUCAAACAUACAGAAUCCCAUAUCAAUUUUCCAUCGAUGUUGUACACCCGAUUUUGUCAUCUUGAUGUAUAAACUUGUUGAAGUGUAUAAAGAGGUUGUCAUUUCAUCCUCAAUUAUAAUUGCUAUUGGAUAUAUUUGAAUUGGAUACCAAAUAAACAUAUUAAUAACAAUAUUUAAUUGUGAUUACAACAAAAGAAAAAAAAUACAGUACAAAAUAGAAAAUAGCAAGUAAAAUUGAAUGUUGUUUAAUAACUUUACUUUUUACUUACGCACGUUGAAAAGAAUAAAAAUGUAUAUUGCUUCUCUUGCCAACUGAAUUCUUUUAUUAAAUUAAAGAGACUAUUAAAUAACAUUCACGUAACAGAAUACAUAAAAGAAGUGGUAACAGCUAAAAAAUAAAGGUGCCUAAAAAUAAGGCAUUAUUAAGUAACAAAAUCAAAAUAAGUGCCUACAAAUAAGGUAUUAUUAUGCAGAAUAAAAUAUCUUUUCAUUCCCUCCCUUAAACUGACUUCCAGCGUAUCAAUUUAUUUCAGAUAAAUCAACCAUUCCCAUCUUCAUCCUGAGUUUCUGAAAAGCUUCGAGUUUUAAAGCCUUGGUCAUUAUAUCUGCAACCUGUUCGUUAGUUCCACAGUGCAUCAACUCAAUUUCUCCAUCUUGCACAAGAUCUCUUAAAAAAUGAAAACGCACUCUAAUAUGCUUGCUCCUGCCAUGCAUUACUGGAUUUUUUGAAAGUUUAAUGGUUGAACUAUUGUCACACAUAAUAAUAGUGCUAGUGUCCUGAAUAUAAGUUAAGUUUCCCAACACUCUUUUCAUCCACAUUGCUUGAUAGUGGCAACAACUGCUACAAAUUCUGCCUCUGUACUUGAGAGAGUAACAAUUGGUUGUUUCUUGGACAUCCAUGUUACUGCACCUGAACUUAGCAAAAAUACAUAACCAGAAGUGCUUUUAGAAUCAUCCUCAUCUCCUGCAUAAUAAGAAUCUGUGAAAGCAAGCAUAUUUUCUUCUUUAACAGCUUCCUCAAAUAAAAUUGGAUCUUCACUUGUGACAUCUUGUACUAUAUAGGCUGCUAUCUCAGCUUCAUCUUCUUCACUUAAUCCUUCUCCAAUAACAAAUUCUUCCAUGCAACUUGGUUGUCUUCUUUCUCUCCCUUGAAUUACGUGUUCCUGUGAAUUCACUAUUGCUUCAUUUUGAAUGACACUUUCCUCAUUAUGCUCAUUAUGCUCAUUAUUCGCACCAUCACUAUCAACUUCAAUAUUUUCUUCAAAUUCAUCAAUAUGUAACUUAUCAUCAUCACCCCAUAACAACUCAGUUUCUAUUUGCUCUUUAUAAUUUGGACCCUAAUCCCAACUCUUCUCUUCUUCAAAUAUAACGUCUUUACUAAUAACAAUCCUCUUUGUCUUAGGAUUAAAUAGACGAUAACCCUUNGACUNUUCACUAACNCCCAAUAAAAUACAAGGAAAACUUUUAUCAUCAAGCUUACCUCUUUUUGCCUCUGGUAUGUGCACAUGAGCCAGGCAUCCCCAAACUCGAAGAUGGUUUAUUGAAGGUUUGAUUCCACUCCAAGCUUCUUGUGGAGUUAUGUUCCUCACAGCAUGCGUUGGACAUCGAUUCAAUAAAUAAAAGGUCCAGUUUACAGCUUCAGGCCAAAAUAACUCAGGAACCUUUUUGGCAGAGAGCAAACAACGUACCAUAUUCAUAAUAGUUCUGUUUUUGCGCUCUGCAACUCCGUUUUGAUGCGGUGUAUAAGUUGUGGUAAGUUGCCUUUUUAUUCCAUGUUCUUCACAAAAUAGCUUGAAUUGAAGAGAGUUAAACUCCCCUCCUCUAUCCGUUCGUAAGCAUUUGAUGGAUGCUUCAACUUUCUUUUCCAUCAUUUUCUUGUAGGAUUUGAAACACUCCAAAGCUUCAGAUUUUUCAGAGAGCAAAUACACCCAACCUUUACGACUAUAAUCAUAAGCUUAAAAAAUACCUUUUUCCACUAUUUGAAAUGGGUUCUAUUAGACCGCAAAUAUCUGCAUGUAUGAGUUCCAAGACCUUGCUAGCGUGCCAUUUACUUGUCUUAGGAAUUGGAUUACGAUGUUGUUUUCCAGCGAAGCAAUCAACACACGUGAUACUAGAGUCACUGGGUUCAGGCAGUCCAUGAACCAUUUGUCGUGUUUGUAGUGUCUUCAAGCCUUUGUAGUUUAUGUGGCCAAACCUUUGAUGCCAAAGGUAAGUGAGGUCAGAGGAGGUGUGUAGACAUUCUUCAAUGGAUAGGGUGAUAGAUCUUUCAUUGACGAAAAUGAACAUACGGUUGCUGCUCAUUUUUGUAUAUGCGAUCAAACCUUUAGACGGAUGAUAGAUGUUGCAUGUUCCUUUUUGUAUAAGAAUAGCAAGACCCUUUUCUUGUAAUUGUCCCAUGCUUAACAAAUUUUUUUGAAGCUCUGGGACAUAGUACACAUCUAAGGAAGGUUGUGCCAUUAAACGUCAAUCUGACACUUCCUAUUCCAAGGACAAUCAUCUAAGAAUUGUUUCCACAUUUGACAAAAUGUUGAUCUCCAUAAGCCAAAUCUACAAACAUACCUUUAUAACCACACAUAUGAUUAGAACACCCUGAAUCCAAAAACCAUGCGUCACUCCUUUUGGAUUCCUUUUCUACAGUAGCCAUCAGAAGAAGUUCUUCUGUUUCAUCUAACUCUGCAUAAUUUGCUUCUCCUUUGUUCCAUUGAGGACAUUCAUACUGAAAAUGUCCCAAGUGGUGACACUUGAAGCAUUCCACAGUGGCUUUUGAAGAAAAUUGUCUCCUUCUUCCCCGUCCACGACCACGAUAUGUUCUUCUUCCUCUACCUCUACCGCGGCUACUUUCUGAUGUGAGUACUUGUUCAUUAUCUUGGUAGACCUUUAUAAACUUUUGCUCAUGGACUACCAAGCAGCUUUGAAGUUCGUCCAUAGACAUUUUCUCUGUGUCCUUCGACUCUUCGAUCGAAACCACGAUAUAGGUGAAACGUGGUGUCAACGUUUGAAGUAUUUUUUCAACCACCUUUGAAUCGGACAUAAGUUCUCCAUUGCUUCUCGUUUUGUUUGCCACUGCCAUGACUCUAGCAAAAUAUUUUGUGAUGGUUUCUAAUUCUGUCAUUUCAAGCACCUCAAACUCCCUUCUCAAUGCAUUGAGCAUUGAUUUCUUCACACGAUCAUUUCUUCCAUAUUUUCUUUUCAAGGAAUCCCAAACAAUCUGAGAUGUGUUCCUAUCCAGAAUUUGUUCGAAAAUUGAUCGAUCAAUGGCCCUGAAAAGGUAAUGUUUGACUUUGUGAUCUUCAAUUUUGGAUUUCUCCAAUUGCUCUGAUUCUUCACAAGACAGAACAGUACCCUCCAUAGGCUCUUCAACACCAUUCUAAAUCAGAUUCCAGAGACCCUUGGCACAUAAAAAAUUCUCCAUCAGUUCACUCCAAUGAUCAUAAUGUUGACCGUCAAAGUAAGGAAUUUUUGAGGAGAAUUUAUCAUUAUUCAUCUUCGUAAGCUGCAGCUUCUGUAUCAGGCCCACUAGGAGCUCUGAUACCAGUUUGAAAAGAAUAAAAAUGUAUAUUGCUUCUCUUUCCAACUGAGUUCUUUUAUUAAAUUAAAGAGACUAUUAAAUAGCACUCACGUAACAUAAUACAUGAAAGAAGUGGUAAUAGCUAAAAAAUAAAUGUGCCUAAAAAUAAGGCAUUAUUAAGUAACAGAAUCAAAAUAAGUGCCUACAAAUCAGGCAUUAUUGUGCAGAAUAAAAUUUCUCUUCACACGUAAAUUGAGAUGUUGAGUCCAUCCACUUAAGAUGAGCUUUACACUACAAGCUCAUUGACAACCUCUUUCAUAGUAGGGCGAGAUCGUGGACUUUCAGUCAUGCAGGAAACUGCUAUCUUCGCAACUGAUGCCACCUCUUUAAGUAAACGUUUAGUUGGAGGAGGGAGACGCUGCUCCAACUUAUCCAUCAAUGUCAUAUGAUCAGCAGUGGAUGAAGAUGAUAAUAAGGAAGAUAUAAAAUCACCAGGAUGCUUUCCCAGAAGUAUUUCCAAUGCCAACACUCCAAAACUAUACACGUCACAUUUCUCAUUCACUUCCAUUGUGUAUGCAAGUUCUGUAACAAACUAAAGCUGAUAUCAUAUAAAAAAAAAGGGAAGGUAGUGACAAUGAUAAAAUAUAUAUAGAUAAUUGUAACCGUCAAAGAGAAACUUAAAAUAUGAGAUCCUCAACAAGUACAAGGAAAGAAAAUUGACCUGGAGCGGCAUAUCCGAAGGUUCCUACAAAUGAGGUCCAAUUGGAUGAAUUGGGAUUAAGAAACUUGGUUGUUCCGAAAUCUGAGACAUGUUCCACAUAUUCNAAAUCCAAAAGGACAUUUUUACUUGAUAUAUCACGAUGAAUAAUUGGUGGUGANCAAUCAUAAUGCAUGUANAAUAAAGNAUUUGNUANAUCUUUAAUAACAUUCACUCUCUUAUUCCAAUCAAANGCAAUUGCUUGUUCAUCAUCCUUCAAAAUAUUCUGGACAUUGCCCUUCUCCAAGAAUUCACAAACCAUAAAUGACCGUUGGGAAUGUGAACAAAACCCAUAUAAGGUUACAAUGUUACGAUGCCGAAUUUCUGUCAGAGCUUGGAUCUCACUUGUGAACGCUUUCACAUUGAGCUUUUCUUCAUUUGGAACUGAAUGCAAUUUCUUUACAGCCACAACUUGACCUGAGGGUAACAUUGCUUUGUAAACUUGUCCUUGUCCUCCAACUCCAAUGAGAUGCUUAUCGUCAAAAUUUUCAGUGGCUUCAACAAUAUUUUCAAAUACAAUUUUGCCAUCAAAACUCCAUAUUGCAAAUGUGUUUAGAGUUUGUAAAUUGAUAGGUUGCUCUUCCAUUUUCAUUGAAGUUUUACAUAAAUAAUUCAAGACUCCGAAAAGAAACAAUGCCAGCAUUACAGUGCCCGAAGUAAGGGGUAGAACCAUUGUUAUGACUUUCUUUGUCAUAUGCUUAUGUGAUUUCCCACUUAGUGUUAGGCAAGGCUUUAAGCCACUAACAUUUCCACACAAGCCUUUAUUAUUUCUUACUGCGUCCAUUGUAGCAUUGCCAAUGGUCUGGAAUUAUUAGAUCCAAGACUCAAAAUUUGAAGAUUCUUCAUUGAUACAAUCUCUAUGGGAAUAUUUCCUAAAAGAUUAUUGUUGUUGAGUGAUAGACGAAACAACAAAACCAAUAAUUUAGAUAAAUCUUGUGGAAUGCUUCCUGUAAGAUGAUUUGAGGAUAACUGAAGUUCACGUAAUUCGGUUGCCUCGCUUAGUUCUGGUGGGAUAACACCUGAUAAGUUAUUGUUAGAGAUCUUGAGGCUUGUGAGGCUACGGAACUUCCCCCAAUUUGGUGAAAGAUGACCAUAAAAAUUGUUUUCACUCAAUUCGAUGUAAACCAAGUUUGGAAGUACACCAAAAGCAUAUAUUAUGUUUCCACUUAGUUGAUUUUCCUCAAGUCUCACUCGUACAAAACUAGAGCAAUUCUUCAAACUCUCUGGAAUAUGGCCAGUGAAAUGGUUAUUGCUAGCGGAAAAUUUUGCCAACAUUCCACCAACACAAAUGUUGUGAGGUAAAUGGCCGACAAAAUUAUUAUCAGCGAGCUGCAAAUUUUCCAAAGCAAUAAUCCUGUUCAUUUGUAUUGGAAUAUUGCCACUGAGAUAAUUUUCAAUCAAAUUCAAUUUGUGAAGCUUUGACAUAUUUCCAAUAGUGGAAGGAAUGUAUCCAGAAAGUUUGUUUUGAUAAAGUAAAACGGAUUCCAAAUUGACCAGGUUACCUAUGGAAGUAGGGAUUGGUCCAAAGAGAUUAUUGCCCAGCAACUGGAUUGUUAGAAGGGAAUGCAAAUUUCCUAUUUCAUCCGGGAUAAAGCCAGAUAAUUGGUUGUCAUAAAGGUAAAGAUAACUUAGAUUGCUCAAGUUUCCAAUUGUGGAAGGGAUUUUACCAGAGAGAAUAUUCUCAAACCAAACAAGUUCACUGAGUUUUCUCAAAAAUCCAAUUUCAGGAGGAAUAAAACCUGACAAUUGGUUUCCUUCAAGGAAAAGUUUAUUUAGGUUGCUCAAAUAUCCAAUUUCACGAGGAAUAGAGUCAGAGAGAUUAUUACUUUGAAGAUAUAGCCUCUUGAGGUUGACCAACUUACCAAUUUCACUAGAAAUAUGACCAGAAAGUUUAUUGUCAUGUAAGCUGAGAAGUGAUAGAUUGGUCAAAGCUCCAAUUGAAAUAGGUAUGGACCCAAAAAGAUCAGAAGAACUCAUGUCGAGCUCUAUUAAUUUCCCCAACAUCCCAAUUUCUUGGGGGAUGGUGCCUGUAACACCCCUUCUCGGAGUGUCACAGAUUUUUUUUUUUUAAAUACACGUUCACAUUUAAAACCACACAUUUAUUAAUAUUAUACAUUGAGAACAUCAGAGUUUUUCAAGAACAAUUAUUGGAUUACAGACCAAAUCAUAAAAGUAUAUUAAAAUUAAAAACCACAACGUUCCAUGAUUUAAAAUACAUAUUUAAAAAUCCCAAAGAGUGUUUCCCCAACGCAUCCUCGCACUAAACGUCUUCAGUUUUACCUGAAACAUCAUCUACUCCCGUAUAACGACACGAGUUAUACGAUCAUCGUAGACACACAAGUAGGGUGAGCUAACAGAAAAAUAUGAGUUACAGAUAAACCUACUUACAUACUUUGAAUAAUAUUAUUAAUGUAAACAUACUACCAUCACGUAUACUUCAGACACUACUCACUUCUCAUCUGACUCUAAUCACUUCUCAUUUCUCACGUAUCUAUGGAAUUUAUCUCGAUUUUUUUCGCAUUUGUUAAGUUUAUGCCACAACCAGUCCCUCAUAUGGACCGCGGAUAAGAGUCGUCCUACGCACACCACAUUGGACAUAUCUCCCUAAUUCUUCAAGGGCUUACGAGUAAAAACAUUGGUGAGUAACAUCCAUUCACCAAGCACAAUACUCAGCACAAGUCAGAAACUCUUGGCGAGAUAUUUGUACCCUCUAGAAAGAGGAAAAGUAACAGGACUCGAAUCCACUUAUCGCCUUACAUAGGCAAAAAGGAAAUCAUCAUUUUUAACUACCGAGAUAAAUAUAAAUCAUCCCAAUGAUACGAUAAGAUUAGAGAAUCAAAAAGGAUUAUCUAUUAGACUAAAAGAACUCAACAUCCAUUAACUUAAAUUAAAUCUAAAAUACAUUCAGAAUAACGUGUUGUCUACUUUGACCUUGGCUCAAUGUUUUACUCGUAAUUUUUCUCUACAGUAUUCCAACUGAAGAGAUUCUUGUUUUGUUGGAUUCUAAACUCAAGAAUCUUUUCUUAGACACCAGACUAGUAAAAUAUCCUUCAUUACAAUUUUAAUAUUUAAAAUAUUCAACACAAAAAGUAUUGGUAAGCUACCAAAAACAUAAUUUUCAUAUAAACGUUCUGGAAAACCAAGAAGUUGAAUCUGGCAAAGCCGGUUAGACAUCUUCUUAUCCUUCCAGAUAGAUGUAAUAGAAAAAGGAUAUACACUCAAUAAUUCAUACAAACAUCAUAAAAUCCAUUCAUCCCAAAAAAAAAAAUCAUACAAAUUAAAUAUAUCACAAAAUAAUUUAACUGCACAUAAUCUGUUUGAUAAGAAUUAGUUAAAAACACAACGAGUAGACUUCCAGGAAAGAGAGGUGUGUCACAAUGGACAACUUAAGUACCAGGUCUUUCCUUAGCCAAAGUGUUCCUCAAUGUGUUAUUAACAGAUUUCUUAUUCACAGAUUCAAAACAACAGCAUAUAAUAUUAUCACAGAAAUUCAAAUAGUUAUGCAACAAGCACAUAGGUUUUUCAUUAAUAGUAAUUGCACAAAAUUUCAAGACAUGAAUAGUUAUAAAAAAAUAUUUUAUAAAUAAAUAAAAAAACUUAGAAAGGUUAGCUCCCCUUACCUCUAUUUUAGACUCAAUUCCUUCCUCCGAAGUUGUUCCCCCCGAAAAUCUUCCAGAACCCCUACUCUUCUAAAAUUUUCUUCCUAACUCUUUCUUCUCAAGAUUUCUCACUUGAUUCUUCCUCUCUUUAUGCAGAAUGAGCUCUCCUCCCAUGGCUAUUUAUAGUCCAAAAAAUUUUACUAUUUAAAUUAUUUUAAUAUUAUUUUAUUAAUAUUUUAAUCACCACUUGCAAAUCUUAUCCUUUCUUAAUAAUGCAACUCAAUGAUUCUUAUCCUUUCAUUAUUUUAUUUUUAUUAUUAUUAUUAUUAUUUUUUUUUACUAUUCACGUUUUACUAUUCACUUUUUACUAUUCACUUUUUUUUUUUAACAAAACCUUCUAAAAUAGGUUCUCAAAAUUUUAAACCCCUUCUUAUGAAAUUAUUAUAAUUUUCUAUCAUAAUCUAAAUGUUUCUAACCUUAACUAUAUUUUCCAUUCAUUAAAAUUAUUAUUACUAAUAAUAAUGCUAAAAUUUACUAUUAUUUAUAAAUAUUUUACAUGGGUCUUACAGUGCCAGAAAGGCCGCUUUCCCCAAGAUAUAGGAUCUCCAGGUUUCUCAUAUUCACAAUUUCUUUGGGAAUGGAAACAUGGAAGUUAUUAAUUGUAAGUGAUAAAUGGUUUAGGUCAAUGUGCAAAUUCUCUGAGGAAUGCUGCCAAAAAGGUUGUUGCCUGCUACAUCUAGAUGAAUCAAAUUGUUCAACUUUUCUAUAGAGAUUGGGAUUGUCCCUGUGAGAUUGCAAAAAGGAACAUGAAGCAUUCUCAGCUCCCUUAAUCUCCCUAUUUCUUGGGGAAGGGACUCACUGAAAGUAUUAUAACUCAUGUUCAACUUCUGAAGGCUAAUCAACUGUGUUAUUUCAGAAGGGAUAAUCCCAGAGAGUUUAUUAGCAGACAAAUCAAGAACAACUAGAUUGGACAGAACUCCAAUUUAAGGAGGAAUACUUCCAAUCAGAAAGUUGUUAGUGAUCACAUGCAAUUCCGAGCCAAUUGCAAGAAGUGUUAGCAGUCCAUGAAAAGAGAGAAGCUUGACUCUGCUUGUCAAGGCUGGCUUUCCACUUCACCAGAGCAUUUGCUUCUGAAGCAAUUCCGGAAGAAUUGAAAGCAUGAGAAUGGGGAAUGCAGAAAACAACAUUAGAAGAAGCAACCAAAAGGGUUGGAACUUCAUCGACAGAAGCGUUGGAAAUAUGAACAUCAUACUGAAUUGUUCACACAGCUACUUAGGUUCGACACACACAUAGAUCUCCACACAUGAUAAGAUAUUGUCCGCUUUGGGCCAAGCCCUCACGGUUUUGCUUUUGGUGCCACUCCAAAAGGCAUCUUAUCAGCCUUCACGGGUUUGCUUUUGGUACCACUCCAAAAGGCCUCUUAUCAUUGGAGGAAUGUAUGUGUAUUUAAACCCUUGACCAGCCCUUCUUUUACUCGAUGUGGGACUUUGUUUGCAUUCCAACAUUUUUUUUUCCUCAAAUUGAGUCUUAUUAUUCAUUGAUAAUUGAAGGGCUUUAAAUAGCCAUGAUACUUACAAUAUCAUGGAAAUAAAAAUAAAAUCUGAAAAUAAAAUAUCAACUGACUUAAAAAUAAAAUCUCCUUAACCUAUCAUACAAUAAUAUUCUAUCUAAUAAACAGAAAAUCAUAACUACUCAUUCAUAUUUUAUCUCUAUCAAAUCAAACCAAAUAUUACUAGACUCAAAACUAAUAAAAUAAUAUUUAAACAAAAUUAUUAAUAAAACCCUAAAAUUUAAGUUUAUCUCAAGUUUAUCUCAACAAACUCCCCCAUAAACUUAAAUUCUUCCUUCCUUGCUUUCCAUGUGCAUCAUCCCACACCGGGUUUGUUUCUUCUCUCCAAGAUUUUCAGCUCUGGUUCUUCUUUGCUUUUACCUGGGUUGUUAGACGACCAUGCUUAACCUUUAAGUACACAAAUUUGGCCUCCACCUUGGUGAGUUCACAAAAAAAGUUCUCGUUCCCACACAUAUGAUUGCUUGCUCCAGUAUCUAGAUACCAUACUGAGUUGGUAGAAAUCUCAUCGGCCUUCAUCUCUUCUUCAUCUUCUUCCCUAGAUGUUUUCUCUUCCUUUUCAGGAGCUGUCUUCCUCAGUUCCUCAAGCUCAACCCUCUGUUUAUUCGUAAUUUCAUUAGCUUCAUCUAGAAGCCUCCUUAUUCGCCGAAUCUCUUCAUCUUUUCCUUUGAGUUCUUUCUCCAGGUUUUCCUUCUCCACAAUUGUUGCAUCCUUUACCGAGAUCACUUCAUCCAUUGUUGGGAUUGGGCUCUCCAUGUCCACUACAUCCAAGAUCUUUGCUAUCAACAAUUCUUCUGCAUCUUCUUCUGCAUAUUCAGUAACGAGAUUCGUCUCCCCCUUUGUCUUGGUCUCGCAAUACCUUGAAAUAUGAUCAAACUUGCCACAGUUGUAGCACCUUGUUGCCCAACACUCGUUUUCAUAGUGGUCGCACUUGCCACACCUAAAACACUCUGCCCUUGACCGAUCUCCUCGGUAUUUUCCUUGUCUUCGAUCAUGCCAAUUCUGUUGACCGGUUUGAUCUUCAUUGCCUCUACCACGUCCACCUCGUCCUCGGCCUCCUCGCCAUCUUCCACCAGGACCUCGGCUCUGAGUAAUCUGAGAUUUAUCAAAGUCCCACAUCGAGUAAAAGAAGGGCUGGUCAAGAGUUUAAAUACACAUAGAUACCUCCAAUGAUAAGAGGCCUUUUGGAGUGGUACCAAAAGCAAAUUCGUGAGGGCUUGGCCCAAAGCGGACAAUAUCUUAUCAUGUGUGGAGAUCUAUGUGUGUGUUAAACCUCCCCCAACAGUGGUAUCAGAGCCCAUGGUUCUGGUCUGGUGACCGAGCUCAAACGAGUACGUCCUCCCAUGAUCAGGUGAGUCAGGCAGGAGGCCAGUGGCCACCGGAUGAAUCAUGAGAGGUGGGGAGAGCAAGAGAUGCUCAUUGUGACCAUGGAUCAUGAGGGCUUGGCCCAAAGCGGGCAAUAUCUUAUCAUGUGUAGAUAUCUAUGUGUGUGUCAAACCUCUCCAACAAUUAUCUAUACAUUAUCUGUAUGUGUUCCAUAAUUUUUCGUCCUUAAUACGACUGUAAGUUUCUUGCACUUAAAUUUAUUAAAGUUAUUGUCUUAUCAUCAUUUAAUAACACAAAUUUGAAAGUGAAAAUAAAUCAUUUUCAAAUAAGAAGAUAUAAAAAACAACUUUCAAAUUUAGGGAUUAUAAAAAUAUUUUUAAAUUUGGAGGACUAAAAUAUUUUAAUUUGCAGAAAUUAAAAUGUAAAUUUUAUAUUUUGAGUGGUUAAAAAAUCACUUUUAAAUUUAACGGACUAAAAUAAAGUUUAAUACAAAUUUUAGAGAAUAAAAACAUUUUAGCCGGAAAAUUCUUGAAAAUGUAUUUCCACAUUAUUAUUUUACGGACAUGAUCCAGAUGUUGUUAGGCACGUUAACCAUCUUAACAACUAAUGUAACGAUAUUAUAUUAUUGAUGAGGAACAAAAGGAUUAUUUUUAGAAUUUUAAAAUUAAAAAUAAUUUUUAAUUUAGGAAUCUAAAUCAGAAAAAAAAAAUCAAAUUUAAAGAUUAAAAGUAUUUAUUUUUACAGUGCAUUAUUUUUCUUUCUUUGCAUUUAUUCAUCCAUUUUAAUCCUUCAUUAUCAGUGCAUCUAUUUUUACAGUCUAUGUUUUCAUUACAGUAUCUUGCAUUCAUUGAUUAGUUUUAGUAAAUACAUGCAUUAUUAGAUAGUUUUAUAUUUUAGAUUUCAGUUUUACAAUUUUCUCUCCACCUACUUUUUAGUAAAUAAGUAUUUAGGCUUAAUUCUACAGUUUCUAAACUUGAUAAGUACCAAGUCCACGGAUUGAUCCUUGGUUGACCCCUAUAUUACAUUAGUGGGGAAAUUUAAGGUUUGUUGACUUUUGUGCGACCAAAAGCCUUUCAACAACAACCAACUUAACAUAUGAGACUAAAUUGACACAAAUUGAAUAACAUGGGGACCCAAUCUAUAUAUUUUUAAAAGAGGGUACUAAACUGAAAAUUUCCUCUUAACAUGGGGACCAAUUAAGGAUUUAAGUCCAUAUAAUUAUUAACAAUAUUUAAUUAUGAUUAUAUCUCAUAGUAUCUCGCAGUUACAAGUUUAAAGUAACACAAAUUAACAUAUAAAAAUUCAACACAAAAAAGAAAAUAGCAAAUAAUAAAACCCACCCUCUUUAUAAACUUCAAUCUUUAGCUAUACACGUAUGUUGCAAUCUUGACUCCAUUCAUGGAAGAUGUGAGCUUUACAUUACAAGUUCAUUGGCAACCUCCUUCAUAUUAGGACGAGAUCGUGGACUUUCAGUCAAACAAGCAACUGCUAUCUUUGCAAUUGAUGUCACUUCUUUAACUGAACAUUUUGUUGGAGGAGGAAGACGCUGGUCCAACUUCUCCAUCAAUGUCAAGUGAUCAAGUGUUAAGGCCACACUUGUGGAUGAAGAUGAUAAAGAGGAAGAUAUAAAAUCAGCAGGAUGCUUUCCAAGAAGUAUUUCCCAUGCCAACACUCCAAAACUAUACACGUCACAUUUCUCAUUCACUUCCAUUGUGUAUGCAAGUUCUGUAACAAACUAAACCUUNNNNNNNNNNNNNNNNNNNNNNNNNNNNNNNNNNNNNNNNNNNNNNNNNNNNNNNNNNNNNNNNNNNNNNNNNNNNNNNNNNNNNNNNNNNNNNNNNNNNNNNNNNNNNNNNNNNNNNNNNNNNNNNNNNNNNNNNNNNNNNNNNNNNNNNNNNNNNNNNNNNNNNNNNNNNNNNNNNNNNNNNNNNNNNNNNNNNNNNNNNNNNNNNNNNNNNNNNNNNNNNNNNNNNNNNNNNNNNNNNNNNNNNNNNNNNNNNNNNNNNNNNNNNNNNNNNNNNNNNNNNNNNNNNNNNNNNNNNNNUCACGAUGAAUAAUUGGUGGUGAGCAAUCAUAAUGCAUGUACAAUAAAGCAUUUGCUACAUCUUUAAUAACAUUCACUCUCUUAUUCCAAUCAAAUGCAAUUGCUUCUUCAUCAUCCUUCAAAAUAUUCUGGACAUUGCCCUUCUCCAAGAAUUCACACACCAUAAAUGACCAUUGGUAAUGCGAACAAAACCCAUAUAACUUUACUAUGUUACGAUGGCGAAUUUCUGUCAGAGCUUGGAUCUCACUUCUGAAAGCUUUCACAUUGAGCUUUUCUUCAUUUGGAACUGAAUGCAGUUUCUUUACAGCCACAACUUGACCUGAGGGUAACAUUGCUUUGUAAACUUGUCCUUGCCCUCCAACUCCAAUGAGAUGCUUAUCGUCAAAAUUUUCAGUGGCUUCAACAAUAUUCUCAAAUACCAUUUUGCCAUCAAAACUCCAUAUAGCAAAUGUGUUUGAAGUUUGUAAAUUGGUAGCUUCCUCUUCCAUUUUCAUUGAAGUUUUACAUAAAUAAUACAAGACUCCAAUAACAAACAAUGCCAGCAUUAGAGUGCCCAAAGUAAGGGGUAGAACCAUUGUUAUGACUUUCUUUGUCAUAUGCUUAUGUGAUUUCCCACUUAGUGUUAGGCAAGGCUUUAAGCCACUAACAUUGCCACACAAGCCUUUAUUAUUUCUUACUGCGUCAAUUGUAGCAUUGCGAAAGACUGGAAUGUUUGGAAGUGGACCCUCAAAAUCAUUGUAAGAUAUAUCAAUAGAUGUCAAGCUCAUCAUUUCAUCAAAGAUAGAAAGAUCACCUGAGAGACUAUUGUGAGAGAGAUUCAAUGUUUCUAAUUUUUUUAACCCUCCAAGCACAUGUGUUAAUGUUCCCCUCAACAAAUUUUCGCUGAGAUCAAGAGUUGUAAGAGAUAUUAAUUUGCCAAGCUCUAAGGGAAUAUUUCCCUCAAAUUUGUUCUGACUCAAAUUCAUUUCCAAU